rnacentral:lncRNA from 1 species
UGCAACAACCUCGCCGCCCUCCGCUGCCGCAACGGCUCUUCCAUGGUCCUUUUCUUUCCCACUGGCCCAAACGCCAACUUGAUCGGGUACGUCGGUCUCUCCUUCCGUGGGUUGGCGCCGCCGGAGCUAGGGCUCGAUCGGGACGGUGACGUAUUCAAGCUGAGGGAAGGGUAUAAACACCCAUAUCAUCGGAUAGUGAUGAUGUCGGCGGUGGCCGCGACCCAGUCUUCCUGGGCGCCGGAGGCGGCUUCGGCGUCCCCAGGCAAUCCCCUCAUCGAGGGGUUCUUGAUCGCCACCACUUUGUAUUCCGUGAAUUGGUUUAGCAUCGAGACCAGGGUUACAGGUACGGGUCAGGAGAGGCCGUUCUUGGUUCCGAUGGCGAAGCAGGGGUUUGAAAGCGCUGUGGUGCACGCUUGCUGGAGUCCACAUUUUGUCGAGGAGAGUGCCGCUUUGCUGGAAAGCGGUGACCUUUGCUGGUUUAAUCUGCAGACCAAGCGCGGGGGCACCAUGAGGGUUGCUUUGCCUGGUGAGGUCAAUCCCGGAGAAUGGUUGAGCUGCGAGUUUGGCGGGCAGCCAUGGACUGUGAUUGUUGCCUGUUCUAAAGCUGUUGUCUUGGUUGAUCUGAGAUCCACAAAAGGCACUGAACACAAGGUUUUGGCUCACAUCAAGAUGUCAAGUUCUCUAUAUGUUUCUCCUUUGAUAGAAAUGAACGAUCGGUUCAUUGCUUUUGGUAAGGCGAGCUACAAUGAUUUCCACAUUGCAUUGGUGACAGAACAUCGUUUGCUUCUGUUCGAUGUGAGGAAACCAUUGGCUCCUCUAUUGACAUGGAACCACAGAAUGGAUUCCCCACAUUUUAUUGCCAUGCUUAGAUUGUCGGAGUUGAGGCCAUCAAAUGAGUUCAAAUGGGCCUCGGAAUCUGGUUAUGUCAUCUUGAUCGGUUCCUUUUGGAAUAAUGAGUUCACUUUGUUUUGCUAUGGGCCUCGAAAGGCUGGAUGCUUAGGCAAUUCUUCACUUUUUGCCUGGGAGCUUCCUUCGAGUCUGCCUUUGUCUGAUAACAGAUGUGAAUCUGGUGACAGCUUUGUGAGAGAGAUUUUUUCAGCAGAGAACUCUGCAUAUGGUUCGGUGUGGCGACAAAGGGAAAAGAAGGUUGUGGGUCUGUGCAUUGUCCCAAAUGAUAUCUUCCCUGUUGAUUCAGAGUCGGGUGGUGGAUUUUCCCUAAUUAGACUUUCCUUGUCUGGAAAGUUGGAAAUGCAGAGAUACCAUGCAUCAUCAAAAUUAUAUUGUCAGGAGACAAACUUUACAGAAGCAGACCAAUUAAAGGAGGUCGAUGAUUCAGUUAUCAAUUCUGAGGGACAUGAAUGUAGAAUGUCCAGCAGAUGUGAAUUUUAUAGGCUGUGGUAUCUUUCUGAAUAUAUGAAUGGCAAUCUUUCCAAUGCUUUGGCCAUGCGUGGCCCCCAAGCUAAUUACAAAGAAACUUGCCAAAUUUCUUUGGGUCAUGAUAUGAAUGAACUUAUUAGCCACAUCCUGAAGUCUUCGAAUCUCUCUAUGUCAGCUUUUGCGAAUGAAGUUAGCAUCCCGACCAGCAUCUUUGAAGUCGCAUGCAGGAGGACACUAAAUUGUCUUCGAUCGGAUAUUUUGCCAUUGGCUUUUUCAAAAUACUCAGAUCUGUUCCGACUUGAUUGGGCCUCCACUUUUGAAUUCUUAGAAAUCCCUUGGUCAUUGUCUCAGAGAAGAUCAUUACCUUUCUUUGCUGGGAAACCUUCAAGAAGAAGCGAGAAAUGGUCGAGCAAAACAUUGUUUGGAGAUGCUCUUGUUGGUCCAGUACUUCCUGUUCCCGUUCUUCUUGCAUUGCAACAGAAUGAUAAAAAGGAUGGGUCUUUCACCUUCAAAGACAAUCCAGAUGAUGACUUACUGGAUUAUCAGUGCAGAACUGUUCUCAAAGAUGUUUUACCAGAAAUUUCUAUUGCAGACACUAGAAACUGCAAUGGAUGGGGUGCCACAGAUGAGCUGCAAGCUGAGAAAUCUUACUUUCUUUAUGAACCUACACAAGCACAUACUAGUUCUGCAAGCGAACGAACCAACAUUGAUGCUGCUUCCAAGGUAAAACAAGAACCAAUAGGGAUGCAACAAAUGAUGCAAGCCUGCUCUGCGUCUUAUAAAGAUGAAACUUUUACUACAUUUAUUUGUGGAGCUGCAGACAAAGCAUCCAAGCCAGAUUCUAAAACUGACCAAUUUGUGGAUGAAUUGUUUGAUAUAAGCCCAGUCAGGCUGGAUUUUGAUAUAACCCAAGUGGCACUUCAGCCAGCAGAGCAGAAAAUUUUCAAGUGUUUGAAGAAACAGUUCUCCAAAUGGCAGGAAAAUUAUAAGCCAUAUCGAGAUUUCUGUGCUUCCUCUAAAAUAUAAAAUGAGCUUCAUGGUAUCUUCAUGCAGUUUAGUUUGAUUGGUGGAUCUAAUGUGUAUUAGAUUUUGUCACUGUACAUUAUAGAAGUGGCUUCAAAAAUUUAAUUUGCUGAAGAGUGGUGCUUGACCUAGCAGGUAAAGAAUCCAUUUCCUGUCCAUUUAUGUAGAAUCAAACUUUUAUGAUUUCCUCAUACUAAAGCUUGAACAAAAUUUUUUUGCUUAACUAAUCUUGAAUGGCGUUUGGUUUAGGGAAAGAUUAUUGUCAACCUUACUGUACCUUCACUUAAAGUUUCCAUCUAUGCAGCAAUCAUAUGAUGCACCAUCAAGCAUCUUCAUGUUUCUCUUAGGAAGUAAACUAGGUGUACAUCAUUUAUUGCUCUGUCCCUUCUCUUAGGAAGCAAACUAGUUCUUUUAAGUUUACAGUGCCCUGCAACAAGUUCUUUCCAUAUGUCCUGGAUAAACCCCUUGCUAAUGCCUCCUUAUGUAGAGAUUUCGGUGGCAAGUGUGUAGAAUUUGACAUGACAAUGCCCUAAUGUAGAGAUUUCGAAUGUCAAAGCCUUUCAUGUUCUGCAGCAUAUCAGGCAUCAUGAAGAGCAAAACCUGUAAUCAGACCACUUGUGGGACCUUAUCAUAGAUCAUGUUUAUUAUGGUCAUGUGUUAUUACUGAUGUUUAACAAGUUAUUUUCUUUGCAUUUUCAUUUUCCUUGUUGGCUUUUGGAAUAUGCUUAUGUGAACCUACUGGUUGAAUGUUUCCAGAUGCUUGUAAUUGCUGUUGCAACAAUGGCCCAGCAUUUGCACUCUGAGGACUCUAUUCAAUCCCCUGGUGUGUUAUGCUGCACAAGCAACUCUGGGUUUUUGGUCACUCACCAGAUGCUGUGAACUCUGCAGCCCUCUUUACAAGGAAGAUGAAUCAAUCUGUUCGCAGAUAGCCACCCCUCUGCUAAUCCAUCAAUCUAACAUUUCUUGUACGAUCUUAACCCGAAAAUGAGACAUGAUCCAUUAAUUUUUUAUUCUUUAAAGUCCCAUUCCAUCAUAUUUUGUAUGGAGUAUCAAACAAGUAACAAUCUUGUAGCUAAUUAUUCUUCCAUGUAAUUUGAUUAUUGCUAGAUGGGAAACCAUUUGUAAGCUUUGUAUAUUACGUGAGUUCUGAUGCAAUUUGUUGGUUCCUGAAUUUGGAAAGUGGGUCAUUGCUCAAAACCUUCAACUUCUCGGUGAAGUCAUCAAGUUUGGAGUUGCAUGGAUUUGCUCUUGCACAAAAUCUGUAAUUAAAAUCUUACAUGAGGUUGGGUUUUUUGCAAGUUUGUUUUUGAACAAUUACUCCACAUGUCAAUUGUAUCUUUAUAUUUAGAUUUGCUUGAGGUAAGAUUAUCUUCAAAAGAAUGUUGAUUUUUUGUAGAGUCAUGAAAUAAAUGUCAGGCAAAUCUGUCUCUGCUCAAUAAUCUCAUUUAUCAUGUCAUCAUCAGAUCAAAAUCUACAAACAUGUAUUAAAAAAAAAAUAUAAAGUAUAUGAAUAAUGAUUCAGCUGUUUGGGUUUUAAAGGUCUCAUCGCAGGAUGGAUAAACCUCUCUAACUUCAAUCUAUCGUCAUCGUAUCUUUAGGCUGGUAAGGUUUACGUGAAAACCAACCCUUUCGGCUUCGAGGCGGCGGCGCGGUCCAAAAUCCGACAUCUCUACAUCGAGCAUUUGCGUGUUCUUCACUGUUGGUUCCAAGUCCGACCACAGCGAGGCAGCUCCCGACCGGCAGCGCGUAACGAGGCUCUUCUGGUCCACACGACAGCAGCAAGCCACUCGUUCUCAAAGUGGAAGGUAGAUUACCUGACGACGGAGCAACAGGAGGAAGCAGAGUGGAGCAUGGAAACAGCACAUCCCUUCCGCCAUCACCUCCCAUGUGACCCACUUGCCGCUGCACUCGUUCUUCCAGCCUCUGGUUUUUGGAGGGGUUGACGCAGAUGCUGCAAAGGGAUGUUCCCAUAGUUUUCCGAGGACAAGCAGCUGGUCCUCGGACUCCCACCCUGCAUGAUGGAGUCCGUGACAGUGAAUGCGCUGAGCCUUGACGACACGCAAAUCAUUCAAGCCAUCUGACCCACCCAUGGCACUCUGUGAGUCGUUCUUUUCUCCUCCUUUUCCUAGCUUUUGGUCUAUUGUAUCAAAUCAUGCUGCUUCUGGCCUCACAUUUACAAGGACCACUUUAUUAUCUCGAGUAGAACACAUACUGCGUAUCACACGCAAGUUCAUCCACCUCAUUAGUGUCAGGGUGAUGACCCCAUCCCCACACUGUUCGAAGAAGAGAAAUCUAGAGAGAGGACUGAAGGAAGAACCACUCAGGUGUAUCAUAUAUAUGGUACGAUUCCUUAGUAGAAGAAAAAGAAAUGAGAGCUAAUCCUAUUGGCUCCAAGAGAUGAUACUGAUCUGACUCAUGGAAAUUUUGGGGUUUAUUCCCCAUCACUUUCAUGUCUUUACUUCGAUAACUCGAACGGAUAUUCUACAGGACAUAGCUCGCUUUCGCAUAUAGAAUGGAUGAAAGCUUCUCAGUUUUGUCCCCCAGACAUGUGAGCUUACUUGCACGCCUAGCUUUGGUUGCCCGUCACUUUCCUGCUCGUUUGGUAGCUGUAAAGCCACCUGGGGCUGACAGAAUUGAUGUCCUACCGUAUGAUUUCUUUACGGCCAAUGAUCUUUUCUUUGGAGCAUAUAAAGCCGAUGACGUGUGUAAUGCUGAUCUUGUUCUUUACAUCCGAAGAAGAAGAAGAAGAAGGGAAAACGGCUGUUGUCUAUAACUUUCUUUUCUCAGGUCGGUGAGGAUGUUGUGAGCUUGAGGAACAUUCCAAAUUCUUGGGACCAUAGACAAUGCAUCUGCACGCUUCAGUCUGAUGCCCGAAUGAUCAAGUAGUGAUUAACAUGAAUUCUGUGUUUGGCAAACCUUUACUACUUGAUCCUAUUUUAAGCUACAAUAUUAAUAACAAUAGGUCCUGCUUCUUGUUGAGAUCCACAUUGCUUCUUGUUGUUGUGCCUUAUGCUUCAUGUUAGAUUCUGCAGACUGCGGUUUGUGUCCUGGAAGUCGUGUAAAAGGAGUGCUUUUGAUCACUGUUGAACCUCCGGGUUUAUUCUGAUGGAAUUAGUCUUCCUGCAGGAGUGAGGUGGAGAGGUUGUCGAGUCUUGCAUCAGAAAGGAAGAAUUAUGCCAUUCAUCUCCAUCAGUAGAUGAUCAUCAUCUGACAAACGACAGGAAGCACAAAAAUCACAGGAACAAGAUGCCCUCCUCGGCUGUUCUUCUCUUCCCAUCCUUCACCAACAUAGAGAGUCUGGUAAUAUACAGAAGCGUUGCACAGACAACUCUACUCGCUAAACCUUCUUCACCGUGACAUGUUGAAAGAAUUCUUGCAAUGGAGGACGGCGUCGUGUAUAGCUGUUUCAGUGCCCGCAUCAACCGUCGUCUUGCCGCGAUACGACUCACAGCUCGAGAACGCAUCACUGUGCCUCGAAGAUGAUCCGAUCGACUCCAUGCAACUUGCUGCCGAGCUCAACCUGGAGCGCCUUGGCUUCCUGAUCGAUACCAAUCCCUUGACCUUCCGACAGAAAGGCAGCAGGAAGGGUAAGUACUUCCCGAGGAACCUCUUGGAAGACCCUGCAGAGGCACCAAAGAGAGGUAAAUUCCGCUUGGUGCUCGUCGAGAACUCGCUCUUCGAUGAGCCGGAGCUCGAAGAAGCAGGAAGGCUUUGCAGUGGCCCGCAGAGUGGCGAAGAAGUGGACGACAUAGGCCGUCUCGGUGCUGCACAGUCGUAGCAUGACCGGAACCGGUUGCUUCGGGAGAGCAACGUUUUGGAUGAGUCCACCGAGAGUGAUCUCAGUAGAACCGGGUCCACAGGAGACUCGGAGAUGGCUGCGGCCGUGGGUGGGUGGACGAGGUGGAGCGGCAGAAGUAGGCCGUCGGAGAUGAUCUGAUCUGCAUGAACCAGCGCAGAAGACUGAGGUGUAGGGAGAUGGAAGUCGAAAUCGAGGGAGUCGGUCUUCCAACGCCUGGAGAACACUUUGGGAUCCACUUCGAUGAAGCAGCCGCCGUCCUCCUGGGCGGAGUCGAGAGGGGACUUGACGACGUUCAUCAACCAGCUAUAAGAGAAGCUGUCAUUGGUGGAGUGCUGUGGGAUCUCCAUGGAAUCUCUAUAGCUCCAAGGCUUUUAGCUUCAGGGUUGGAGAUGGCAUGCGAGUGGGGGAAGACAUGAAGAAAUAGCAUGGUCUGAUGAAUACCUACAAAGUGCCUCCAUCGACUAGAUCGGGAAUCUCCUGAUGACAUCAAGAAUUCUUUGGAUAAUUCAGAUAGUUAAAAAUCCAUUGGGGAUGAGUUUGACAUAUCACUGAUUCAACCCAAAAACUUCAAACUUGUUGAUUUUAUCAAUGUAAAACUAUUCUUUUGGUCAUCUUUUCUAAUCUCUCUUUAUUGUCAAGAAGGAGAGGAUGCAUUGAAUUGAAUGGUCGUUAAAGACGAUGACAUCAAAUCAUAUCUGAAAAGAUCCAAAUCAUCAUUCAUUAAAGCAAACCUCAACAAGAGAUUAUUUAUGACAUGCAAAUUGCUUAGCUAUUAAUCUUUGGGAUCAGCCACUCGAAGCAGUUCAUGGGAAAAAUCCAAUGGAUCUUUAUAAUUCUUUAAGCUUUUCUUUCUUUGGUAGAAGAUUCAUAUAAUAGUUGCCUUGAUAUGCAUAUCUGGAUUCAACCAAGAAGACAAAGAAGAGAAUUCUGAAUGGAUCAUCACAUGAUUCUUCGAUGUGUAUAUGCUUAAACUAAGCAGCCUGGCUGACUGUUUUGGCACUAUACUCGAUGCUAAUGCCUUAACCACUGGAUAAAAAGGCUCGCUAAGCAAACAGAUGCAUUUACGUGUAAUCUGUGCUGACCGCAAAGUACAAGUGGAUCAUUUUUGCAGGUGAUCGAUAAAAGAACAGCGUUCCCAAUAUCAUAUUUGGAGGUGGUAGGUUGGAUCAUUAGGCAAGUGGAUCAUCCGCUGCAAUGCUUUGCAGAUCUGAACUACAAUCGAAUUCGAUCAUAAAACAUCCAUCCAUCCAUCAACGAUGAUGCAUGCCAUCGAAUUCAUGGUCUAAAUUCACGACUGUUCCAGCUCUGCAAUGCCCGAGAAAAAGGAGGGACGUCCAAAUCCAAUCUUGACUUGUAAUCCAGCCCGGCCUGCGAAGGGACUCAUAGACGGUCCAUUUGUCACAUGGAUCUCUCACGGGCCUACCACAUAUGUGACGCGUGUCAUUGGGCAUGAUGAUGUGUCGUUUGAAUCGGGUGGGCUCUGUUUUGAGUCUUGCACUCCCCUCUCAGUUCGGAGCAGACAAGUCUCUGCAAUGCCAAGCUGGCUCUCGUGCUCCUUCCACUUGGAUCAUCCAGCUGCCAUCGAGCGUCGCCUACCCCGCCCGCGGUUCCCUCGCAGUGUUGGAAUAAAAGAGGAUCCGCUUACCCGCCACGUAGUUGGUGAGGACAGUGGAGCUGACGUGGAACCCACCGUCUCUGGACCAUCUGCUACCUCCACCGGCCACCUUACUCGAGAUGAGAGCGAUGCCCCCAGCGGGACCCGCAUGCCGGACCAUGACGCCAUCCAAUCAUGAAGCGGGCAGUGACGUACGUCGGUCAAUGGAAAUGAGUGCAGUGGUAGUGUUUCGUGACAGCUGGUCUCUUUGGCGUUUUGUGCUUCGAAAUCAACGGUGAAACGACCCCCACUGGUAAAUAAAAAAAAAUCCUGCCACAAAAUAAAUGACAUCUAAAAAUAAAAAAACGAAAAUAUGGCAAGAAAAAAAGGAAGAAGGAUAUGCUUAUUCCAUCCCAAAAUUUUAAUGAUAAAGUAGGAUUUGCCCCUUAUAAAUUUUAAUGUACAUCUUAUAUAUAUAUAUAUGUGUGUGUGUGUGUGUGUGUGUGAUAAUUUGUCCAAAGAUACUUAGAUUACUUAUCAAUAGUUUUAAUUCAAUUCAGAAACAAUAAAAAUAUCAUUCAUAUUUUCAUUAUCAAAUUCUUAAGAGACGAUUUUUAGAGGAAUAUAUAUAACAAAAAAUCCAUAAAAAUAUAUAUAUAUUACUUCAUCUGUGAUUUAAGCUUCUUUGUAGAAGAGCGCUUCAUUUAGGGUCUCUAUUCCUAUCCUCGUCUCUGAGUUCUGUCGCUUCAGUUACGCGCACGGACUGUGUCAGGGAAGUAGCGAGGCCGAGAGAGGCGUCACCAACAAAGGGCGCAAUGGCCGUGCAAGGCGAGGAGGCAAAGAGGUACAUCACGGCGGAAGAGCUCCGCAAGCACAAUACCGCUUCCGAUCUCUGGAUCUGCAUCCAGGGAAAGGUGUACGACGUCACCUCCUGGGUCGAGGACCACCCAGGCGGCGACCUCCCCCUCCUCAGCCUCGCCGGCCAGGACGCCACCAAUGCCUUCGUCGCCUACCACCCCGCCUCCGCCUGGGCCCACCUUGGCCGCUUCUUCGUCGGCCAUCUCGCUGACUACCGCGUCUCCGCCGCCUCCAGUGACUACCGCCGCCUCGUCGCCGAGUUCUCCAAGUCCGGGCUCUUCGACCAGAAGGGCCUCGUCGCCCCGCUCACCAUCUGCUCCAUUCUCGUCCUACUCGUCGCCGCCGUCUCCGGCGUCCUCCUCUCGGAGGGUGCUCUCGUCCACGCCCUCUGCGGCGGCAUGAUGGGCUUCCUCUGGAUCCAGACCGGCUGGAUGGGGCACGACUCCGGACACUACCGGAUCGUCGGGCAUCCGCGCCUCAACCGGCUGGCGCAGAUCGUCGCUGGGAAUUGCCUCGCCGGCGUCAGCAUCGCGUGGUGGAAGCGGAAUCACAACGCCCACCACAUAGCCUGCAACAGCCUCGACUUCGACCCGGACCUCCAGCACAUGCCCUUCUUCGCGGUGUCAUCGAAGCUCUUCGCCUCGAUGAAAUCCUAUUUCUACGAGAGGAAGAUGAACUUCGACGCCGUCGCGAGGUUCCUCGUCAGCUACCAGCAUUGGACGUUCUACCCCGUGAUGUGCUUCGCGAGGAUCAACCUGUUCGCCCAAUCCAUUUUGCUUCUGCUCUCAGCGAAGAAGGUGCCCAAUAGAUGGCAGGAGAUCCUCGGGGUUGCCGUCUUCUGGAUCUGGUACCCUUUGCUCGUCUCCUGUUUGCCGAAUUGGGGAGAAAGGGUUAUGUUCGUCGUCGCCAGCUUCGCGGUCACCGGGAUUCAGCACGUCCAGUUCUGCUUGAACCACUUCUCUUCGAGCGUUUACGUCGGGCCGCCUCAGGGGACUGACUGGUUCGAGAAGCAGACCAUGGGGACCCUUGACAUCUCUUGCUCCCCGUGGAUGGAUUGGUUCCAUGGCGGGUUGCAGUUCCAGGUGGCGCACCAUCUGUUCCCCCGAUUGCCGCGGUGCCAUCUCAGAAAGGUCUCUCCUUUCGUGAGGGAGCUCUGCAAGAAGCAUAAGCUGCCCUACAACAUCGCCUCGUUCUGGGAGGCCAAUGCGAUGACCAUUCGGACUCUUAGAGCUGCUGCAUUGCGAGCUCGGGACUUUGAGAACCCAGUUCCGAAGAAUUUGGUGUGGGAGGCUGUCAACACCCAUGGCUGAAAGCUUACUAGUUCUGGACUCCCUCUGCUACAGUUCCCACUACGGGCAUCAAUCUUCAUGACUGAUGGUAUGAGCUGGUUGCUGGCAGUCGAGGUCUAAAUCUUCCUAUUUUCUCUUGCAUAUUAGUGUUGGUUGUGUUCUUUCCUUUAAUUAUGGCACCUGCAAACCUUUGUUCUAGUAAAGAAGUUUUGGUUAUGAUGAAUAGCCAGCAACAUGUCCACUUAGGAAGAAGUAGCAAUAGUUCUGCAAGGGGACUGGAUUUCAUGAGGCAUUAUGAGCAAGCAUUUUGCUUUGUCAUAAUUCUUCCUAGCUGAUGUUUGUCUACCUGUUUGAUUAUAUAUAAUUUCCUGCUCUAGAUAAUGAAUGCCAGUAGUGUUCCUCUUCCUUGCAGAGUUGUUCCCUGUCUCAAUCCAUGCAUGCCUUGUUUUGAUGAAAUGCCAUAACCAUGUUUCCUCCACUCGAAGCCUUGUGCAUGCCAACAAACAUCUAGGAGCACCCUGUCAUAUGCUGCUUCACUGCUAUGCAUGAACAUGGCAGACAGCUCUGCAGAGGAAAGCAGCUUGCUGUCACCUUUGAGGCAGUAGGUGGUUUUCUUUUUCUUUUGUACAUGCAGGACAUAUUUCAUGAGUUCCUUGUGAAUAAUCUGAUUUCUUUAGUAUCAUCCCUCAGGCUAGUCUAUCAGCUCCCUCCUAAGUACAUUCACAGUGGAAUCAAUUUCUAUUUUCCUCAGCAAUCAGUCCAUUGAUCUAUUAAAUUUUGCAUCUCAAAAUUCAGUAUUUGCUGAAUCUCUCAGGCACUGAUCUGAAUUUUCAACUGGCAAUCUUUCGUCAGACACAUUAGAUUUUUCAUGCUAUUGGUCUCUGUGGCUAGAUCAAGACAAGACCUCUCACCAAUUUGUCAUGCUGCAUUUGAGGCAUCAUCACAUCUGAGCUUGUGGGUUGCUUCAGAAACCAUUGAUGGAGCUUGGUCCACAUCUUAAGAGUAUUUUUGUCAAUCAUGUUGUCAGAUCUUGAUCUUUCCCCCCUCCCAACAUCUCAUAGUCAUGUAUUUGAAAUAUCCAACUGACCACUUGUUUUAUAACAUUGACUAGAGAUGAUUUUAGAACCCAGAGUUAUAGUUUUCUUGCUUACUUUUGAUUAAAUUAUGUCAUUAACUUGAAGUUGCACAUUUAGACCAAUGGUUUGUUUCAUCAUGGCUAUAGUUCAUGAAUUUUUUUUUUUCUGAGUAUUCUACUUUUCCUCAUCAAUCAGUGCAGAUUUAGCUGACUGCAUAUAUUGAUUACAGAAUACCAGAAAGAAAAAUAAUGAGAUGGUUUCUGAACUAUUACAUAUUCAAGUUUCUCUUGACUCUUCUUUGUACAUUAAUAGUAUUAUUAUAGCAAAAACUAGGAAAUUAGGUGGAGGAGGUGCAUCAUCAAGCUCCCAUGUAGGGGUUCUGCAUGUAAACCUCCAUUUUUGCAUGUCAGUAAUAGCAUUUGGCUUAUGUGGUGGGCCAAGCUGCUCUGAUGGAUGGUUUAAGCAGGAGCUGCAGUCAUACAAGUCAUCGACUGGUUUUCUCUUAAAUCUUUCCACUAGGUUGACAUGCUUUAUAAGGAAGAUUGAUGUUGGUGGUGGUGCUGCUAUUGCUCCUCCUUUUCUUCUGAGUAAUGUGAAGCACAUCCCUGGAAGAAUCGUCGUAAUGGUUGCUGUAUCUGCUAGGCUUAGACGCCACUGUACCCCACCUCUGUCACCGAGGCUUAACCAAGGAAUAAAACAAAAGCGGUGGCAUGAAACCAAACGGGUGAAUAAGUAUGCUUUACAGGUGGGGAGCGAUUGACAUGACAACCAACGCAUUAUGUUAUCGAUCUAUAACAUAAUGGGUUAGUCCAGAGAGAACCCAUCUAUUUUUGACACUUACCGGACGCGAUGCUACCUACGGUUGGGGGAUGGAUGCAGGGUUGAAUUAAUGAGCUAUGUUUGAAUCAAAUUCUCAAAACUAAUCAGUUAAGAGUGUGUGUGUGUGUGUGUGUGUGUUUUAUCUUCUGGUGUUAGCAGCAUGACUUCAGACAGGAAAUCUUUUGAAACAGAAAUCGAGUCAACAACUCCAUUUUUAUGAUUUCAUCAUCAUCCUCACUCUGAUGCAUAAAUCACAAGCUGUAGUUUCUUUCAAAUAAACUACACCGCUUCUAUUACAAUCGGCCCAAAUGCUUCGAAGCUGUAGUGUUAGAUCACAUUCAAACAGCUCACCAGCAAAAAGUGGUAAUACCAUCUGUUUUCAGUAGAAUGACUACAGACAAAGAAACAACAGUAACAACCAAGGAAAGAAAACUGGGUAUACUAAAUGUUUUCAGUAGAAUGAGCAGAGAGAGGAUGCAACAGUAAUAACCAAUAAAAGAACAUCAUUGGAUGGAUAUGAAUCUCACAAAUAGAAGAUCUGUUUUCGGUAGAAUGAUUACCGCAAAAAAUAAUAUAACGCACAAAAACAAGCUAUAUUGGUUGAUUUGUGUCUCAUGAUGAGAGCACUGCAAUUUGCGAUCUAAUAAAUAAAAAAAAGCCACCAAAGAAGAUAUGUCAUAUGAUCAUGAUAUCAAGGUAGCAUAACUCUGAUGUAUUACACUUACAGCAUCAUAAGUUGCAAGACAUGCUUAAAGCCGCAUACCCGCUAGUUAAUAGGCGACUAGGCACCACAUGUAACAGCGUGUAAACUAAACAAGAAAAUUUAUAUCAGACAAAAAAAGAGAAGAGAUAAUUGCAGGAACCUCCGUCCCAUAUAGAAAGAUUAUUAUGGGAUUUAUCAAAUAUAAUAAACAAAACAGGAAUUUCUUAACAGCAAUCAGUUUCCCGAUACUAACCAUGUAUACAUAGAGGCAAGUUUAGAGUCUUGAGAUAAAAAGAAAAAAACACCAGCAAACAAUACUAUAAUUCUGCCCACCUAAAUCCCAUUUAUGUAGGCCAGAGGAGAAGUCAUUGGUGACAAACACGAUCUAGCAAAUAUAUGUGGUAAAUCAGAUACCUUUUUCAACAAUUGGAACUAGCAAACUCGCAAACACACAUGGAAAAUACAUAUACCAAGUCAGAAAGCGCACAAAUGAUAGUUAAGAAAGGCACGUCCAGCCAUUGCACACACUACUGCAUUGUAUCAUAGGAAGAACCCUGCUCAAGAAUACCAGCAUACCUUGAUUUAUGCAUUGUUCCCCGUGCCUGAACUGGUGGCAAGCAUCGUCAUUAGACUUCCUCCAUGAACCCUCCCUUCUGGAAGCGAAACCAACCCACACUGAGUAACCUGAGGAUGUGCUUUCGUAUCAGAUCCACUCCAGAUUGACAUGCCCUUCCCUCCAAUAGCAACCUCUUUCAUCAUCCCAGACUUAAUUGAUGUUGGAAACAGGGUAGUGGAUAUUGCAAGGGUACCCCCACCACGAACACAGUGAUCUUGCACCAAGGCAUCAUGUGCAGCACAAAGACCAGCUUUGGUCCUGGCAAACCUCUCACAAGGUGGAUCGCCUGUGCCAAACUUUGACCCCACAUGACCCCAGGCACACCGGUUGCCUCCACCAUGUGCCUUGCAAAAAUCGGUACUCCCUUGAGCGCUUUUCCCACAACCCACAGAUUUGCAUCGUUUGCCUCCACCAUGGCGCACACAGUAAUUAGUCCGACCUCUAGCACUCUUAGUGCACCCAGGAACAGCACACCUCUUCCCACCACCAUGAGCUACACAGAAUAAGGUCCCACCAUGCACACUCUUUGGGCAAACACCUCCCCCCUGAAACAAGCAGCGCUUCCCUCCUCCAUGACCCUUGCAGUAAGGAGUGCUCCCUUCAGCUCCCUUGGUGCACCCCAAAAAUGUACAUCUUUUCCCCCCACCAUGUGCCUUGCAAAACAUUGUGCUACCCUGUGCACCCUUUGAGCAUGCUGGAAAUUGACAGCGUCGUCCACCACCAUGAGAGAUACAAAAUCCAGAAUGACCUUCUGCACUUUUUGUGCAAUUCUCUCUCCGGCACCUCUUACCACCUCCAUGCUUGAUGCAUAAACCUGAUUUACCUCUUGCAGCACGGCCGCAACAUUCAUGGCUGCAACGUUUGCCACCACCGUGGGCAAUGCAGUAAUCAGUGCGCCCUUCUGCACUCUUUGUGCAGCCAAGAUGUUCACACCGACGACCGCCUCCAUGCGCUUUGCAAAAGAUUGUCCUUCCUUCAGCACCCUUUUGACAUCCAGGUUUCUGGCACCUCCUUCCCCCACCAUGGGCUAUGCAUAGACCAGAAGCACCUCUUGCUCUUUUUACACAACCUUGGAACUGACAGUUUUUUAUGCUACUAUUGUGGUGUCGUGAAUGUGUAACUCCGGAAGUGCAGACAACUGGGCUUUUCACUGUUUGCAGCACGGUUGGUGGGUGAUCUGGCACAACAACAACUGGAUCUGCUUUUACACAAAUUUUCUUAUUUGAAGCAGAACUGCUACUUGUCUCUGAAUCGUUCAAAUGAGUUGGCAUACAGCGUCUGAAUAUCCACCAAGAUGAUACAAUCCCUUCAUCAUCAUUGGUCAGCACUGAAUUCACCAUUACCGAGGUCUCCACACUACUCUGAUGUUCAUCCAGGACAGGCUUGACACUAGUCAUGACUGAUUCAAAUGACCCAACUGAUAGACCUAAUUGGAGGUCUAAUGUAUUUCCAGUAUGAGAAUCAUUGGCAGUAGCAACAAAGGACUUAGAAGGAUUCGAUGUUUUUGCAUUUUCAGGACAAAACCGAAUAUUCAGUCCUAAAUCAACGGAUCCAUUAUCAUUUUCUUUUGCUGAAGAUGUGCAACGAAUUAUCGAACUCAUCUUGCUAACAUAUGAAGAAUUCAGAGACUGACCUAAACCCAGAGCAAGCAAGGACUGACCUGAACACUCCACAUCAUUCAUAUCACCCCACACCCCUAUUGUCCCCUUUGUUUUGGAGUUAUUAAGAGUGGAAGAACUAGGAGAAUUAAUUCGUAACGUGGCAUCACUUUUUUCUUCUCUUGAUUGGACUCUGUCAAAGAAAUCAUCAGUACUCAAAGAGGAAAGAUUUGCAGUAGAGGCCAGAUUCAAAGGGCAGUUAUCCAUUAUCUGUCAAAAGCCCUCUUAGAGCCACCAAAUCUACUAGGAAAAGAACCAGUUAGCCUGACUUCCAGAACUUUAAUGGUAACAAAGUUAAUUAAAUACUAGAAUGAAAGCUUGCAACCCCCACUGACAAAUCCUGAUGUAUCACAACGGUCCAUUUUGGAAAACUUGAGAGAUAAUCAAAUUAGCUGUAGCUGGAGUUAGGGGUCAAAUGAACAAUCAUUAGUAGCCAACCAUGUCAUCUAACAAAAUGUAUUGCCCAAGAAUUCCUGCAGCAGAAGAAACACCAAAGAGAAAAUUAAUAGCAUUUGAGAAAUAAGAAUUUAGAAUUACUCUUUCCAAAUUUCUAUCCAGAACUUUGAAGAGCAGAGUAGCAUGUGUGAUGCUGCUAAAAGAUACAGACACAUUUUGCCAACAAAGCAAGAAAAGGCGCCAUGGGUUAUCAUAAAUACACAAAGAUCUUUGAAGAAGCAAGGAUAUCCAAAAUUGAACUAUCAAAAACCAGAGUUAGUAUUGAUGCUGCUACUAAAAGACACACACAUUUUGCCAACCAUGCAAGAAAAGGAUAUAUGCAUUAUUAUAAACAUCCAAAGUACUUUGACAAGCAAUUUAAACUAUUAAACAACCACACAUCCAUCAUAUACUCUAAAUAGAUUACUGUUUGACAGAACAUGUACUUACAAGCAACCAAGAAUUUUUAAACAAACGGAAACCACAUCCUACAAGAAGCUUAUGCUACAUGCAUUGGUCAUCAGCGAUAUCGGUCAUCAGUGAUACUGAUGCUUUUCAAAAAGACACCUGACUAGAAAUAUUUGGAUCAUUUCUUCUGAUCCAACUCAAGAGGAAAAAAGAAAAGAAAAGUGUAAUUUUACAAGGAAAAUGAAAAGAACAAAUGUAAUAUACUUGACAUCAGUAACUUCUAUGAACCAUCAUAGCUCUGUCUCAAGAGGGCUGAUGUCAAAACUCUGCAAUGUGCUAUUUAGAGAGUUUUAGGUCUCCCAAACUUUAUAAGAACACCAUACUUGCAUAUCAUGUAAAAAUAUGGCCUCAUGGUUUUUUUUUUCAAAAAAAGGGAUCAAAUUAAAUAACUAAAAUGGUCAUAACAGAUACCCAGCAAUUAAGUUUAAUUAGCAUAACUUACAAAAAAAAAAGUUUAAUUAGCAUAAGUUAAACUUACACGGUUUCUAGUUAUAUCAUAUUCAUGUGAUCAAGUUGAUUAAAUUUAAUAGAUAAAUUUGCAAUAAAAUAUGAUUGCAAGAAAAAGCACAUUAAGUUUAUAAAAGAGCUAGCAAAGUAGAUAUUCAAAUUAUUAUAGGGCCAUAACUGUAAAAAAAAAAAACCAUGGACAUAUAUAAAGAGCCACAUUUAUUUGAAAAAAUAUAAUAGACUAUUAGCAACUGCUUGCAAAGUAUCAUUGAACUUGAAAUUAGAAGGAAUGUUACCAACAAUUGUUACAGUGUUAGCUUAUUUUACAAGACAGCAGAAUGAUAUUCUUGAAAAUUAAAUCGGCAAGCAGAAUAACUUAGUAUGCUUAAAACCUUUUGAUGUAUAGCUUUUCAUGCUAUUACUAGAAUCAUACACAUCAAAUGAUUCAUGAAACUCAAAUUGCUCGAUUACAUGCUUCCAUUGUAAAAGGAAGCAGUAACUCUAUCUGAACUCGUCAAAUUGCAUCUGCAAAUUUUGAGACAAUUACAAAAAAUAACAGAGAGACAGAGAGAGAUGUAAACCCCUAUAACCUAGCACCAAUUGAAGAAACGAGGCAAAGACACAGGACGGUCAAGCCAACACAAAUACGACCAGAAAAUCGCUGUAAGGAAUAUAAUCCCGAUCUGGUUAUGCAGAUUGUAUAUAUUAAUAAAAAAAAACCAAAAAUAAAUGCAUGAUCAGAUUAGUCAUGAACAAAAAACUACAAAUACAAGCAACUUUCCAUCGUGCAACUAAUCAGAUUAAGGAUGUUACCAAUACCUCAUGGAAGAUGCAGUGCUUUAAGAUUUUUAUUUACACCAUCCAUCAAGAUGCUCUGGUAGUAUCAUAAAUCUAUUCAGAAUGAGGAAAGUAUGCAGAAACACGUUUAAUCUACUCAACUCUUGCAACAGAACUGACAGCAAAGCAGUUGAUAGAUCACCAGAUGUUUAAAGCAUUAAUUGCCGGUACAUACCACGUGCCAAGAAAUCGUCGAGUUACGCAAUGCCUUUUACAUAGUAUCUAUUACCACUUGACUCUGUCUUUAACUGCUUCACUAAUUUACCCUUGUCGAUGGGCACCGAUAGGAUCGAGCGCAGUAUAAAACACCCAAACUCACAAGAGAAACAACAGCUACCUCACAGAAUCAUUUAGGAGAAAAGAAGUUUGGAAAAUUCCGAUCACCUUUCUACACAAUCCACGAUGAGACAAGCAUUAAAACGAUCAUGAAACACCAAGAAAAGAAGAGAUGGAAGAAGGGCAGAACCAAAUCUAAAAGUAACACCAAGUACGCUACAGAGAAUACUUGGAUGGAGCUAAAAAAGAGGACAUAAAAUCGGACAGCAAAAUAAGCAUUCAAGAGGAACGAGAAGACGCAAUAUAUGUCCUCGUUAGCCGAUCCGACGGCAUUCACACUCCACGAAAACGAUCGUAAACGAUCCGAUCAGAGACAAGAAUGAGGCAACACUCGCCUUGGCGUGAGAAGGGCAAGGCGGCCAAGGACGGGAAGAUCCGACGAGAGUUAGGGUUGUUGAUGUGGGGAUAGGGAAGGAGGAGCCGAGGCGGAAGGCAACAAAGCGAGCGAGAGCGAGGUGGGAAAAAGAAAAGAAAAAUAAACUGUACGAUAAUUAAGAGGAGACAUAUAUAAGCGAGGCCGGUGGCGCGCGCACGUUAGCCCAUCCCGCGCAGCGUAGGCCGAGAAGCGGGGCCGGCGUCGGUCGGCCGCUGGGAGGGCGCCGCCUCGACACGUCACCGCGUCGCGCGAGAUUCCACGCAGGCAGCGGCUCGCAACCGUCCGUGGUGCGCCUCCGUGGGCCCCACCCUUUUUCUUUAUUGAACAACAGAAUAAUGCAAUUUUGUUCCCAUUAAUAAAAGAGGCGGAAAAAUAAAUCCAACGACAACAUUUUGCCGCAGUCGGCGUUCAAUUUUGAUUUAGAUUAGCACUUUUAAUCGACCCUUAUUGAUUGCUCAAAAAUAAAUACAACUUAACCUUAAAAAAAUUAGGUGUUUAAUAAGCUCAAUUGAGGUGACGGAUUACGACGUAUCUUUCUUAUCGAGGUCUGACCUAACAAAGCCAUAUUCCAUUUUAUCAUCAGAUAUAAUAAUAAUAAUGUCACGCCUAUUAUUCUCACACGCUUAUAUACAUUUAUUUGGUCAGCUAACAAUCUUCAAAUAUAAUAUUCGUCAUAAGACUUGGACGAGUCUCCACUUCUUCCCUUUUUCUGUUCACAAUAUUUCACGAAUUAUGCAUGAUAUCCUCAGGGAUGUUAUGAUCGAUCAUAUCUAAAGAAGAUAUCAGUGAAGCUUCGUCAUUAGAUCAGUAUACAAGUAAUGCAUCGGAUGCAGGAGAAGACAAAACACUUUUAGGAGACGUAAAGAAGUUGGCACUUUGAACAGCAUCUCGGGAUCAAAGGCAAACGCAACUUGCUCGAGGUUGCAGGCGGCGGCGUCCCUUCCAAAAAGGCAAAGGCCAACUCUCCCCACCCCAAUCGCCACAUAUAACUCUUUUGCAGGUGCAGCGAGUGAGUCCACCAACGAGAUUUGUUGCGAUGGAGAUGGGCAUCGCAAUCCAAGGAUGCAGUCUCGCCCUCCACGUUUCCUUCUUUCUGCUAUCGGUACUUGGCAACUUGAAAACGCAACAGAUAGGUAGAUGAUCAUCACAGCCACAGCAGCAGCAGCAGCAUUUGUAUGUAAAGAUACCAAGCAGUAAAAAGAUCAGCUGAAUCAACAGAUGCCACGGUGGGUUGCCAGGAUCAAACUAUUAGGGUUUCUCCUAGGGGCUACAGAAACCUUCAGCAGACAGCAGGAUGAUGGCUGGCUGAGUGGAAGAUCACAACGUAAACGUGAGAUGUUACUUGUUCUCUUUCUUAUUCCUUCUCCUCUGUAUUCCCUGGUACACACUAUACCACUGCAAUUAAUCUUUACAGCAAGUGGAAGAAGAACAUGAGCAUAUGCCUUUGUCCCUUUUUCGCUUUCUCGUGGGUCUUUUCCUUGGAGCCACGAGUCAAAAGAGAAGGAAGACUUUUGAGGAAGAAGAACCGGGCAAGUGUCAAGCUCCAAAGCCACACUAUCAACAGCAAUAAUAUAUCGAAUAAGAACGAGAUGAAACUUGCCAUGCAUGAUGCAUGCGCUCCUCAACACACACUGAAACAGCCCGCACGUCACUGAUGUGCGGUCAAGUCCUCUUCGUCAACAAUUGGCUCAUGCAAAUAGAUAUAUAUUUUGAUUGAUAUUUCGUGUCAAAGUGCAUCAGAUUCGGAGGGAACUUAUGCUGUCCAUAUGUCGGGAGUCAGCAAAUGAAUUGUAGCCACCAAUGAAGUCAACAAUAUCUUCCUCGUAUCCAACACUUACAAAAGACUUGUCCUUCUAUCUAUCUCCUUUCUCAUCUCUGUUGAUGAGGAUCCAUCACCAGAAAGUUGGAUUCGCCUUUCUCCGUCUCUCGCUUCCCAUUCGGAUGCCUUUGGUCUGUGAAUAUGACCCUUUCCGACGAACAUGGAUGCUGACAUGUUGUCUUGAUUACAAUUUCUCAUGCAGUUCUUUCAAAUGAGUCAGUCUUAUGAUGAGACUCAUUAUGACACUAGCUUUUUACUCGAUGUUCAUGUUAGGUUCGAGUCCGAAUCAAUUGGCGAGUUCGAUGGAAGUUGGCCCAACAAAAUAAUGAGUCGUCGAGGUUUGAACGAUUGUGGUGAAUGGGUCAUGCAACAAAUCAAGCACUAGGCUUGCUCGAAGCCCACGAUAUAUGUAACUUGCUAUCAGCCCAGUGUGGCGGCACAUUCAUUGUUAGCAUCAUCGAAUAUAAAUACUUUAUUGAUAUGCUUUGAGGCAUGCUUCAUAGCUUCAUUUUCUCAAAGUAAAAUAAAAAUUAUUGCUUUGAAACUGUGGAACAAACUGAGCUGCUAAUGAAGCCAUAGCAACAAAUAAAAAUCUGAAGAUCUGUGAUCUACCAAAAUUUGUCAGCGUAUGUCUUACAAAAAUUACUAGACAUGGGUAAGUACAUGAUUCCACUUACAUCAAAGGUGUAGGAGUGAUCCCCUUGGAAAUGUUGAGAACCUUCAAAGAGUUUGUGUUGAGCUCAAUACAAGAGAGCUGUAGGAAUUGAGCUGCUUUCAUAGCAUCAUGUUGCGUGAGAACUUGUGUGCAGGACCAUAUAAUAUGUAAAGAUUUCGUGGAGAAAGGAAAACGAUGAAGAUGCAAGCCAAAGAUCAAAGAACUUUACAUGAAUAGACUAAGACAUGGGAGAAUAAAUGGGAUAGAGAUUGACGAAAUCUUCACUUGGAUUACCAUCUUAUUCUAGAGACUUGAGCUCGAGGAGAAGGGCCCCAAACCUAACGACACAAUGUCGAUGCCUAUACGUAUUCUCCUCCGUAGUUCAUGACCCACUACCAACUCUUGACCGUGUUGUUCUUGAUGAGGACUUGUCAUCAACGAAGCUCCGAGCUCACCCUAAUGUUUUAAGAUGGUUCAGAUGACCUGGGAGACUUCCAUCACCUCCAUCUCUCUCUGUGUGUGUGUUGGAAUUCUAACGUAAACCCUUAUGUCAGGAUUAAUACUUAAUAUACCUUACACGUAUUUGGCUCUUUCCUAAUAGCUUAAGGUUUUGAGACUAACUGUAUCUCAAUCAUAAUUCUUAUCGUGAUAUUAAAAUAUAUUACGAGCGUGAAAUUUAUAGCCAUGGAACAAAGAUGAUGAUCCUCGUAAGCUUCUUUGUUCGCGGGGGGAGCUCAGCUUAGUGGCGAGGAGUCACAAUCGAAUCGGAAAUUUGCUAAGCUGGCGCCGGCCAUUAAUUGACUCAUCGAUGGUGCGUCGAGUAUGGAGGAAGACUAAUAAGUUAGUGGUCGUUCCCAUGGCGCAGCGGAAACCGUGUGCAAGCAGGGUUGAAGAUGGCGAACACGUCUUUCUUCCCCCAUUAAUUUCGCUCACCGUAUGUUGCAAGCCAAAGAUCAAAGGACUUUACAUGAACAGAGCAUGGCAUUGAAGAAUUAAAGGUGUGGCGAUUAAUAUACUCCAAUAACUUUUUUGUGCUAACUUAGGUUCUGAUGGUGUGACAUGUGAGUAAGGUUCGGAGCCAAUCAAUGUUUACUUUUGACUCCGUCUCAGUCCGAGAUGUUGGGUAGCUGUUAAAGUCAGAUUUAUUGAGUCGAUUGCCUCAGCCAGUUUCUGGUGCAUCGUUUGACUAUGAACACCAACGUCAACAUUUUCGCCACCGUCGUUGUUCCUGGCGAAGACUCGGUCGCAGGACCUUCUCGUAGUUCCCACCGGGGAGACUGACUUCACUUUCAUCCCUCUCUACGUGUUGGAAUUAUACACCGGAUGCUCAUGCGUCAUUGCGAGGAUGAAUACUGACAAACCCAACACAUCGGCUGCGGUUGUUUAGGAUAAUGACCGACCCAUUUAUUCCCAGCAGCCUCACCUGCACGAGACUUCCUCGGAGUUUUCCUUCUGCAUUACGUCAAUGAAUUCAGUCUCAAAAUCAGUUCAAGAGUACCGGCAUACGCAUUAGAUAGAUCGAAUAGAGUCGGAUAUCCGAAAAGAAUCGAUCGUACCUCCAUCCUUAUCUCGAUCCUUGACAAUGUUUGUACAGAGACGACUCGAUCCCUCACAAGUCGACUGUCUCAGUUGGUCGCUGGUGCAUCGACCAUGGAGGAAGACCAAAUAAAUGAAGGCGUGAAUGAGGCGGUGGCAACCGUUGGCGAAGCAGACUCGAAGAAGUCUGCUCUCGGCGGAGUGCGUCACAGAAAUAUAAUAGAUUGUAAGAUUUUUAUAUACUUCGAGGAUACGUUUCUUCUCAUGCUUAACCUAAAAGAAAGAUGGAAAUCACAUGAGUUACAGAUAAACACAACAGCAAUACAAAUAAAUUAUACGAGGCAAAGAUGAUGAGUGGAUGAGCACCUCCUCUGAGAGUCAUCCAAGAGUUAGUCAAAGUCUUCUUGGCUUCAUCCCAAAGCGCAGCCUCCCCCUGUCAUCUCCUCUUCCCUGGUGCAGGUCCCAUCCCACCCUCCUUCCCUAUAUAACAUGAACGAGGCCUUCGCCAAUCGUCACAGGCAAUCCACCAUGGCCUCCCGAAACCUCUCCUCCCUCCUCCUCGUCGUCCUCCUCGUCUUCGCCUUCUCUGCCGGCUCCCACGCCGGCAGCAUCGCCGUGUACUGGGGCCAGAACGGCAACGAGGGCGGCCUUGCCGACACCUGCAACACCGGCAUCUACUCGUACGUGAUGCUGGCUUUCCUCACCACCUUCGGCAACGGGCAAACCCCCGUCCUCAACCUGGCGGGCCACUGCGACCCCCCCUCCGGCACCUGCACGAGCCUCAGCUCCGACAUCCGCGCCUGCCAGUCCCAGGGCAUCAAGGUGCUCCUCUCCCUCGGUGGCGGCUCCGGCAGCUACUCCCUGUCCUCCUCCGACGACGCCGCGAGCGUGGCAACGUACCUAUGGGACAACUACCUGGGCGGCUCGUCCAGCUCGCGCCCGCUGGGCGACGCCGUCCUCGACGGCAUCGACUUCGACAUCGAGCAGGGCGGCCCCGACCACUACGACGAGCUGGCGAAGCAGCUCUACGACUUUGGUAAUCAGGCGGGGACCAAGGUGUACCUCUCGGCGGCGCCGCAGUGCCCCUACCCGGACCAGUACGUGGGUAACGCGCUGCAGACGGGGCACUUCGACUACGUGUGGGUGCAGUUCUACAACAACCCCAGCUGCGACUACUCGUCGGGGGUCAGCGGCCUGAGCAGCGCAUGGGGGACGUGGACAUCGAGCUUGUCGUCAUCGGCCGUCUUCCUGGGGCUGCCGGCCUCGACGGACGCGGCCGGGAGCGGGUACAUCCCGCCCGACGACCUCACCAACCAGGUGCUGCCGGCUAUCAACACUGCGUCCAACUACGGCGGCAUCAUGCUGUGGAGCAGAUACUACGAUCUCAACAGCGGGUACGGCGCCGCCGUGAGGAACAGUGUUUGAGAUGGCGAUGUACUAACUACCAGAUGUGUGCUUCCGAUUACGAUGUCAUGAAUAAGGCGGGACACUGAUAGAAACGUCUUCCUGAUUGAUGUGACGUUGCGUCCCAAUAAAAUAAAGAUUGCGUGUUUUUAUGGAGACAUUGAUGUAGUCAAUGUAAUAAUACAUAAGUGAUAUAUCUUAAAUUGAAAUUUAGCUGUGAGCAUCAGAUUUGGUGGGUUCAUGAGUAUCAUGUCCGUUAUUUAUAGUCCUAUUUUUUUUUUAUAAAAAUAUAUAUAUAAAAAAUUAAAAUAAAGUAUGCUUGAGAAGUGAAAUAAUUAAAAUAAACCCAUAGACGGACCAUGAAAGGUGGUGUAUUGAUGACAAUUGAUGCAAUUCAUGAAUUGAUGGCUAUGUUAAGUAAGAGACAUGUUUGUAUAUUAUAAACAGCAGGUUUUUCUCGCAUCUAAUAAAAACAUUCUAUAUGCUGAUCACAUUGAAAUAAACUUUAUAUAUAAACAAUGGAAAAUUAAUAGUCAGGGGAUUAUAUUUUUAAUUAUUUGUUCUGUAAGCUCUUCUUCAUAUUCGUUUCUUUGAUCAUGCAAGUCAUAGUUUGGUCAGAGAAGACGUGCUUUGUCCACAAAAAAGAAAAUUGAGGAUGUGUAGGCCUUCACCUUUAAAAUACUUGUUCUCAACAUAAUAAAAAUACUUGUCCUGUAUGCACAACUAUUUUUAUUGGAGCAUUUUAUAUUCCUCCACUUAUAUUCAAUCGUCGUUGGAUUUGUCACUAUAAUCCCUAAUCUUUGUUGUCUCUUCGGUCAUCACCUCCUAUUGCUAUACCUUUGCCUCCGUCACCAUCGCUCCGACCCUCGACCACCAUCAGCCUAAUGGGUCAUAUGCCCCUCAUUUUUGAAUUGAUGUUCAUGUUGCCGUGAAUGUAUCAUGUGACAAAUCAAUUGCAGUAGGUUUGCAUGAACCUCACCAUAUAUGUUGCUUGCUAUGAGCCCAGUGCGACGCCCAUUCAUCCUAAAUUAUAGGAGUGAGAAUUAUAUUAUUUUCCAUGAGAUUGUUGUUUGCCGAGUGUUGCGUAAGGUCAUUUGAGGAUCCCUCGUGGUUGUCUGAUGAGAUAGUUAGUGUGGCAUCGAGGAAUAUGAGGUGGUUUCGGAGGAUCCAAGAUAGACUUCGAUCUUCCCAAGUUCCUACACAAAGGUUAGUGUUGGGAGAAUUUUCCAACCUGACUCAUCCGAUGUUUAAGUUAGUUUUGUGGAGUUGUGUGAGGUAUAAAGAAUUUUUUUAAAGAGAGGUCCGACCCUUAAGCAAGUGUCGGGGGCUGACUUUUAUACCUGGGCGAUCAAGGGGAUCGUUUGUAACUAUCGCAAUGCCCUUCGCAUAGCAUUUUAUCUAUGUGAGCAAAAGGCUCGAAUAACCUUCUACGGGUUGUCAUCUACAAAUGCCAAUUAAGUGGAGACAUAUCCAAAGGAUCACCCGGGGACCAUUAUCCUUGAUGAUCGAUAAAAUUAGUCGAAACAGUCUCCUGUGAACUAUUAUCCAUGAGGAUUCGAUAGGUGCCACACAAUACUAUUGAGUCGGGAGGUGAUUUACCCUUACCUUCGAUGUCGACAUCUAGAUGGCGAUCAACUAUAAAGCUAGUUUUGUCAUCAGAAUAUUUCCUUGCAAGAACCUGACGUAAGAUAGGAAGCUUUUAACUCUAUCAAUAUUUUAUUAUCAUGAACUUACCUUAAUUUAUCUAAACCAUAUAUAUCACAUUCAUGCUAAGGGUUAAUCUUUCAAUCUGAAAAAAUAGAUAGUGACAUGUGAAUGCACUAUAAUAGUUACUUGGCUUAAAGCAUAAACUAAGACUGCACUAGCAUCAUCAAAUAAAAUAAUUUAGUGGCAUGCUGUCACGCAUGCUCGAUAGCUUCAUGUUCUUUUUACUAGAACAAAAAAUACAUUGCUUUAAAACUAUGGAACAAACUGAGUUGCUAAUGGACCCGUAGCAACAAACAAAUUAAAAGUAGAUAUCAGUGAUCUGCCAAAUACUAAUACUAAUACUAGAGCAAUUGACAGCCUCCAAGAGAGUUGGUGUUGAGCUCAAUAGAAGGGAGCUGUAGGAAUUGAACUGCUUUCAUUGCUUCAUGUUGGAUCUUCUAAUAUGUAUAGACUUGGAGAAAGAAAAACGAGGAUGAUGCGAGCCAAAGAUUAAUGAACUUUAGAUGAAUAGACUAAGACAUGGAAGAAUAAAUGAGAUAGAGAUCGGCGAAGCACCACAAAAGUGAUGGGAUAAAAAGAGAAUUUUGUAUAUGAACAAAUAAAAAUAGAUCGUAAUAUGUAGUGGAAUUAAAUGAAAAUCAUAAUUAAAUUGAACAUCAAGAUUUAUAUGAAAAAUCCUUCAAACGUGAAGGGUAAAAACCAUAUGGUAAAAUAGAGAAGUGUGCUUCCGAUUACGAGGUCAUGAAUAAGGCGAGACAGUGAUAGAAACCAAGUAGAAAAUCUUGAUUUAUAAAAAAAAAAUUUAAGUUAUAAUUCCAAGAAACCAAGAGAAACCAUGAUUCAUUUUAACAAAUCUCCUCUUAAAUAAAUAAUGAAAAGAAUUCUUAGAAAAUCAUGAUAUAAAUAAAAUUCAUUCAAUCUUAUAGGAGAAUAAGAUAUGCAUAUAAAAUCUCUCAAUUCAUUAUGAAUCAUAAAAAUUAUAAUUCUAAAAAAUUAUAAUUCAUUUAGGAAAUUUUCUUCUUUAGUAAACGGUAAAAAGAAAUAUGGGAGUUCAAAAAACAAGAUCUUGAUUNNNNNNNNNNNNNNNNNNNNNNNNNNNNNNNNNNNNNNNNNNNNNNNNNNNNNNNNNNNNNNNNNNNNNNNNNNNNNNNNNNNNNNNNNNNNNNNNNNNNNNNNNNNNNNNNNNNNNNNNNNNNNNNNNNNNNNNNNNNNNNNNNNNNNNNNNNNNNNNNNNNNNNNNNNNNNNNNNNNNNNNNNNNNNNNNNNNNNNNNNNNNNNNNNNNNNNNNNNNNNNNNNNNNNNNNNNNNNNNNNNNNNNNNNNNNNNNNNNNNNNNNNNNNNNNNNNNNNNNNNNNNNNNNNNNNNNNNNNNNNNNNNNNNNNNNNNNNNNNNNNNNNNNNNNNNNNNNNNNNNNNNNNNNNNNNNNNNNNNNNNNNNNNNNNNNNNNNNNNNNNNNNNNNNNNNNNNNNNNNNNNNNNNNNNNNNNNNNNNNNNNNNNNNNNNNNNNNNNNNNNNNNNNNNNNNNNNNNNNNNNNNNNNNNNNNNNNNNNNNNNNNNNNNNNNNNNNNNNNNNNNNNNNNNNNNNNNNNNNNNNNNNNNNNNNNNNNNNNNNNNNNNNNNNNNNNNNNNNNNNNNNNNNNNNNNNNNNNNNNNNNNNNNNNNNNNNNNNNNNNNNNNNNNNNNNNNNNNNNNNNNNNNNNNNNNNNNNNNNNNNNNNNNNNNNNNNNNNNNNNNNNNNNNNNNNNNNNNNNNNNNNNNNNNNNNNNNNNNNNNNNNNNNNNNNNNNNNNNNNNNNNNNNNNNNNNNNNNNNNNNNNNNNNNNNNNNNNNNNNNNNNNNNNNNNNNNNNNNNNNNNNNNNNNNNNNNNNNNNNNNNNNNNNNNNNNNNNNNNNNNNNNNNNNNNNNNNNNNNNNNNNNNNNNNNNNNNNNNNNNNNNNNNNNNNNNNNNNNNNNNNNNNNNNNNNNNNNNNNNNNNNNNNNNNNNNNNNNNNNNNNNNNNNNNNNNNNNNNNNNNNNNNNNNNNNNNNNNNNNNNNNNNNNNNNNNNNNNNNNNNNNNNNNNNNNNNNNNNNNNNNNNNNNNNAUAUAUAUAUAUAUAUAUUGGCACCUUCGUUGGUUGGCAACUUCAAUAGUAUGAUUGGCUGUCUACUAUGUUUAUGUACCAUUUUAGGUUCAUGCAUUCUCAUGUCAUUUUAUUUUCUGAAUCGAUUUAAAUAAAUUUUGGAUAUACAUAUUUAUUCAAUAUUCAUGCAUAUUAUUUUGGAUAAUGUCUACUUUAUUCAUGAAUAAAGUGGAUAAUAAGUCUAGUUCAUGCAUAUCAAUUUAUAUCCAAAAUAAUGUGCAUGAACCGAUAAAUACUCCUCACAUUAUUUAUUUUAUUCAUAAAUAUUAUUUUAAAUAUAAAUUUAAAGUUUUGGCUCAUGGUCUUGUUGGGAAAUCUAGGGUACGAGAUUACAUGUGCAACGGAAGAACAAAAAAUAAAAUCUCUAAUAUUUUUUAAUAAUAUAUUCGUUGUUAUGCGAAGAUUUGUGUGCAAAAUACACGAAAAAGAAAAUCACGUGUGAGAUAGUUGUGUUACCUAGGGAGAUCGUAUAUCCCCCCUACAGAUUUGUAGAAGUGGAUGAAUGAGGUCAAGCGUUCUCCGCUCUAGAGGUGAUUACAUAGUAGGACUGCGACGCUUCUCAAAUCUCUAAGCCUACUAUUUGAGGAGGAGAAAAAGAGAGGAGAAUAGGAGGUGACUACCUAAGAGGAGAAUAGCAGAGUGGUAGUGGAGAAGAUAGUUGUCGUUCACCGAGGAGGAAAGAUUUAUGCCACAGCAAAAGGGAACGGACAUUGGUGCAGUGGAGAAGAUAGUUGCCAUUCACCGAGGAGGAAAAAUUUAUCGCACCGAUAACCUGACGAUGGAAAAGCAGUAGUAGAAAGCUUUUUCUUUUACCGUCGGAGGUGGAGAAGCAACAGAUGAGUCAACAACGAGAAGAGAGCUUGCUCUAGGCAAGUGGCUCUGAUACCAUGAUAGAAAUAACAGAAGAUAAGAACAAUAAUUGAAGAAGUAGCUUUAGCUUGAAUACAUUAACAUGUCCCUCUCAUUAUGAGAGAGGAUUUUCCAGAUACGCAGUAACCUUCUUACGAGUGCCGGAUUUAUCACAGAAUAAUAUGAAAUUAAAAUUGGUAAUAUACUAAUAUCCCUGAAAUCCUACUUCUACGAGUAUUCCGUGCGUGCCUCUCAUACGCGGUGAGGUGGCAGCCGAUGCCACAUUUGCAUUUACUCCAGAAACUCCGAUAGAUACAAUCAAAGCGCGUAAAGGUUUAUAGUACCAAAACAAGUUCUGCGUCCGCCAUAGGUUCCUUUCCGCAUCUUUGAACCGUUGAUUGGGCAUCAGAGGGCGAGGCGCGGCGGCAGACGCCGGGCCCAGCGUGACCCACACACGUGCGACAGACAAAAGGCCAAUCGCUGGGUAGGGCGGAGUGGAGGUAGAACACGACUAAUGGUGACUUGGACGAGGCUCAGGACCACGUGGUUCAACGAAUCUAAAUAUCUAAAUGGGCCGUGGGUCGCGUGAUGGAACGAGCUCCAUCACUGCCGUUGAUGGUAUCUACAAUCAAGGAACCCGUGAUCAGAUCCGUAAACGGGGACCGUCCAAUAAUACUUCUACAUAGAUCUUGAUCAGGUCUCUGCAAAUUUCUCCCAAUCAAUCACCCAAAUACGUCGAUCUGUCUCAAAGCCGAUGUAAACAAUAGUAUUUAUGAAUGAGAAAAUCAUGAAUUUUACCUAUGACCUAAACCAAAUUGGAUUCGCAUAAUUACGACUCGAGGCACAACUCCAAUCAGUAGCGAUAGUGUCUGCAUAUUUAUUUGAUUAGAAAAAGACCACAACGUGCAUUUUUAUUUGAUUUUAAUAAGAAGCUACUCGAAGCAUCAAGAUCAAGAAGGUGUGAUUUAAAGUCACGAUAGGAAGCACGGUGAGCCCCGGCUUGGUUGACCCCAGUGGACCCUACUUGGAAACUCGAGUCUGUCUGUCUCACGCGCAAUUAGCCACAGCGAUAAGAAACGAUAUUUGCAUGUUAUCUAUCGAUGAACAGUGCUUCUCGUACAAUAAUUGUGACCGUCGGGGGACGUCGUCACAUGGCAUGCACGUGAGUCAUGAAGACGUUUUUAUUUGAAUAGUUUUCCUCUGUUGUGAUCCCUCCAUUUCAUUCGAUGAAGUCCAAUGCAUCAACCAUCAUGCCUCCAUCGCACCCUUUGUUGGUGUUGGUGUCGCAAUCCACCAGUUGUUGCUCUGACAAGGAGAUAAGCUCGUUGGUUCUGAUCUGGUUUAUUCCCUCCACCGAAACUACUGUCGAGAAGGCCCAGCAACUUCCUGCAACAAUUCAUACUAAAUUUUCAUUUAUUUCGAUCGAGCACAUCAACAAAAAAAUAUAAUAUUUCGAGCUCACCGCAUUUGCCUUGGUCUUUGAUAGCAGUGACGGCACCCUUCUGCCUCCAGUCGACGGUGGGAGUUACAUUGGUGACGUUCUUGUAUAAGAAGUACCCUUCGAGGUUCGCGCUUCCUCUGAGAGUGCUGCGGCGACGAAUCCUCGUCCCUGCGUACGUCCUCUUGAACUCCUCCCUCGCCGUAUCGCCGAACUUGUUGAGGCUAAGCUUGUAAGGCUUGGCUUUCUUGUUGGACGCGAACACGUAGUUAGCGUUCUCUUUAAAAACAUCAAAGCGGAUGCGCUUCUCGUCGACGCUGCGUGACACGCCAUGGUGGCUCUGCCACCUCUCGUACAAGUCCAAGAGCUUAUCCUCCGACGCGAUGUCGAUGUCAUCCCCAACGAUGGGCAAGCCGGAGAAUGCUACCGCAACGAGAAAGGCAGCGAACAAGAAUCCUCUCCCCAUGGUGGUGAACGAGGAGAAACCAAAAACAGGAUGGAAGUAGGUUUAUGGUUCGAAGGAGGUAUCUAUAGAGAUGUUGGGAGUGAAGCAUGACGACUGGGCGGUUAGGAGAUUAGGGCAUGGGCAUGGGAGAGGCUCAUUUUACGUAACUGUUAUUGGCAUCUUCUUAAGCGAUGCAUGCAUGCAUGCAUACGUCGAAAAGGUAUCCUCUUCGGGUAGUUUGAUGUGCAUGGGUUCGGGCAGAAGCUUCCAAGCCAAUAUGGGAGAAGAGUGUGUAGUCCUAUAGAAAUGGGAACUGUGAGGUUGGAUAUCCAAAUCGCAAUUAGCGUUUGAUUAGGGAAAGAGAUGGAUAUUAUGAAGCCUCAUAUAGCUCGAUGAAUUAUAUUGAUCAAAAUGUAGCAUAAAUAAGACUAAAGAUUUUUACAGGACUGCUUCACGGAUGCUUUCUGGGGCAGGUUAUAGCCACUAUGAGAUCAGUAGCUACUGCAAGGAUCGGUAUGAGUGCAAGCACAAUCUCACCUACUGGCUGAACAGAUCUUUCUAUGGAUUUGGCCUUGGAUCUGCAAGCUACAUCAAUGACAUGAGGUUUUCAAGGCCAAGAAGAUUGAAGGAGUACGAGGAAUGGGUGCACAAGUUGGAAGAUGGAUUGGUAGUGCUUCAUGAGGACAUCAGUGUCGACACAAAGGACAUGUCAAUGGAUGUUGUGAUGCUGUCCUUGAGAACGGCAAAAGGUCUUGACCUGAGGGGCUUUGCAAAAUGCUUUGGGAAGAGCCUGGCACGCUCUUUGUGCCAAGCCUUGAGGCAGUAUGUAGAGAGUGGGCAUGUGGUUGUCAUGGAUGAUGAUAGAAAUACGUUGUCUUACCCUGAGUUUGAGUUGAAGAUGAGUGAGGAUAAUGAUGAAAUGGGUAAUGGAGUUGCAUCCAUUCGGCUCAGUGAUCCAGAUGGUUUCCUCCUGUCUAAUGAGUUGAUAUCCAUUGCAUUUGGAAUUAUAUCUCCAUAAUAUCCUGUGAGACUUUCGAAACUCAUCUGUUGUUUACAGCAAUGUUUUAAUCAUGUCCAAAUCUAUCAAUUGAAAUAUAGUUUUUCCCGCAUUGUUUAACCAGAAUUCACAUUUGCAUUAUAGAGAGGAAAAGCAAAAGUGUGUAUAUAAAAUUUUCCAAAUGCAUUAUCGAAAUAUAAUCUUUUUCCUCAUUGUUUAAUCAGAAUUCACAUAUGCAUUUUGCCUGAUGUUCCUGAUUUUUCUCUUUCAAAGAACUUAAUGGCAGUUUAUUUGCAGAAUUUAUUAUGCUUUUCAUUGUUAGGUUUGCAUUCUUGAACUCAACAUCGAAGUAUUAUGUGGAAAUUUCUAGACUUUUGACUUACACCAAUUCCUGAUCAAUGUCUAAAAAAUAUUUUUCGAUGUAUGAUUUUUCUUGAGAGGUCUUUAAUAUUGGAAACCAUUUUUUUUUUUCUGUAAAUAACUGUUAUGAAGUGAGCAUGUGAAUGAUGCAGUAGCUUUUUGCAAGUUUAAUCAAGCAUUGACAGGAUGUUUGAGCAUCCUGCCGCGUUUCUUUCUUAGUUUUUUUAAAAAAUGUAGUUUUCUUCGAAAAUGAAUUCUUUUAGUAAGGUUUCUAAUGAUUCUGUUAUCCUUUUUCGGAAAUUUUAAGAUCUCCUAGAGUAUGCUUGGUUCAGUGUUGGAAUAAUUUGGUAUAAGUUAUCCUAAGCCAGUUACAAUUUUAGUCCUCUGAAAGAGCAUCAUUCUUGUUGAGCUACAUAAGGAUAGUUUUCCUCUGUUGUGAUCCCUCCAUUUCUUUCGAUGAGGUCGAAUGCAUCAUCCAUCAUAUCCCGCUCAUUUCUAAUCCAGCCCGAAUCCAGCGCACCUACCUACGAUCCAACCACUGCUGCAACAAGUGCCGCCCGAUCGGGCUCACACGAUACCCCCAGAGCUCCCCGCGUCGCUUCAGGUUCGACCGGCCCCGCUGGAAGAUCGAGCGAUGGGAAACUCGAGCACCCGCCUGGAGCCCGAGGUGUUAUCUUCAGAUUCAAUGGCCUGCUUGCCUGAGUCGUGCUCCUCGACUGCAUGUUGCCCGAGACCACCUUUGCGCGGCCUGCCAGCCUGAGUCGUGCUCCUUGACUGCAUGUUACCCGAAACCACAUCUGCGCGACCUGCCCGAUUGAGUUGUGCUCCUCGGUUGCAUGUUGCCCGAGACCACCUCUGCGCGGCCUGCCCNNNNNNNNNNNNNNNNNNNNCAUGUUGCCCGAGACCACCUCUACUCGGCCUGCCCGUUUGAGUCGUGCUCCUCGGCUACAUGUUGCCCGAGACCACCUUUGCUUGGCCCGCCCGACUGAGUCGUGCUUCUCGGUUGCACAUUGCCCGAGACCAUCGCUGCGCCCCCAGCUCUCCUCGAUUGCUAAACUCCACGAUUCCCACACCCUUGGUAACGGACCGGCUACCGCCCGACAGGGACAAUUUCUUAAAGCUGAAGCCAUGCCUCGGACCCCCCCCCUUACAACAACCAACGCAUAGCUUCCUUCGGGGGGGGGGGGGGGGAUAUGAUAAGGGCAAUAAUGGCGAUGGGAUGAGGGUUAACGUUAGCUGUGCCCGGAUGACGCCUCGGUUGACCUAACAGCACUUGACCAAAACAUACUGGAACGUCGACCGAGGCAUAUUAACAUCCUGCGCGAGCCCGGUCCUUCACGCCAUGCCAACACUGGUGUCAGACGUUACCAGGAGUAUGAUCAUGCUCCCUGCAAGCGGGCACAUCAGGCAACGGUAACCUUCCCUAUAAAAACCCUUGCGCUCAGAAAGAGUGGAGGAGAAUCAUGUGAGAAAAACUCCCUGUGACCGUUCACUCACUUGAUCGUCGGAGGGGUCGGGUCGAGCCUCCCGACCUAACCUGUGCGCAAGGACGAAGACGGAGCGCCUCCCACCGCGUGCCCAGGCGAAGAGUUCCCUUCCAGAGGAAACGGUUGUCCCGUCGCGAUCGGACCACCGUAGUCGGCCACCUCAACAGUCUCAAGGGUCGCCCAGGAAGAUCCCUAAUCAUUCGGACCCGAACCAAGUCACGUUGGCCCCGAGGCCACGACUUAAGGUUGUUAACACCAACAAGAUAUACAAAUCAUGAAGACAAAUUGUGAAUAUUAAGAGACAUAUUGUGUUUCUGUUUCGAUAACUCAAAUUGAGAAAAGAAAGAAUCAUAGUAGACAAUCUUGAUUUAUAAAAAAAAUUUUAAGUUAUAAUUAUAAGAAAUCAAGAGAAACCAUGAUUCAUUUUAACAAAUCUCCUCUUAAAUAAAUAAUAAAAAUAAUUCUUAGAAAAUCAUGAUAUAGAUAAAAUUCAUUCAAUCUUAUAGGAGAAUAAGAUAUGCAUAUAAAAUUUCUCAAUUUAUUAUGAAUCAUAAAAAUUAUAAUUCUGAAAAAUCAUGAUUCAUUUAGAAAAUUUUAAACGAUCAAAAGAAAUAUGGGAGUUCAAAAAAUAAGAUAUUGAUUCAUAAACAAUUUCAAGUCAAGUCAUAAAUCACGAGAAAUCAAGAUAAAGCUCAUUCAAAUUAUUAUGAUCCUUUUUCGAUAACUCAACUCAAAUCAGAUUGAUGUGACGAUGUGUCCCAAUAAAAUAAAGAUUGCGUGUUUUUAUGGAGGCAUUGAGGUGGUCAGUGUAAUAAAUAAUACAUAAGUGAUAUAUCUUAAAUUUAAAUUUAGAUGUGAGCAUCAUAUUUGGGUACAUGAGUAUCAUGUCCUUUAUUUAUAGUACUAAUUUUUUUUAUAUAUAAAUAAAAAAAAUAUAUAUAAAGUAUGGUUGACUCGUGAAAUAAUUAUUCAGCAAAUAUUCAUGAAUUGAUGGCUACGUUCAUUAAGAGACAAGUUUGUAUAUUAUAAACAGCAGGUUUUUCUCGUUUCUAAUAAAAACAUUCUAUAGGCUGAUCGCAUUGAAAUAAACUUUAUAUAUAAACAAUGGAAUUAUAUUUUUAAUUAUUUGUUCUGUAAGCUCUUCUUCAUAUAUUCGUUUCUUUGAUCAUGCAAGACAUAGUUUGGUCAGAGAAGACGUACUUUGUCCGCAAAGAAGAAACUCGAGGAUGUGUAGGCCUUCCUUCACCUUUAAAAUAAAUGUUCUCGACAUAAUAAAAAUACUUGUCCAGUAUGCACAUCUAUUUUUAAUAAAGCAUUUUAUACGAGAAAGCUUUCACUAUUAGACUUUUAUUAAAUAGAAAAUGUUCAUGUUAGGUUAGGGUCCGAAUAAAUUGAGGUUCACCCAACAAAAUAAUGACUCGUCUAAGUCUGGACCGUUGCCGUGAAUGUAUAAUGGGACGAAUCAAUUGCAAUGGGUUUGCUUGAAGCUCACCAUAUAUGUUGCUUGCUGUCAGCCCAGUGCGACGCUCAUUAAUCAUAAAUUAUAGGAGUGAGAAUUAUAUUAUUCCCCAUGAGAUUGUCAUUACCAACGAUAUUGUUGUUUGCUGGGUGUUACGGUUUGAUCUUGUCUCGAAGACGUAAGGUCAUUUGAGGAUCCCUCGUGGUUGUUUAGCAAGGGAGCUGGUGUGGCAUCGAUGAAUCUGAGGUGGUUUUUGAGGAUUCGGGAUGGACUUCGAUCUUUUCAGGUUCCUACACAAAGUUUAGUGUCAGGCGGAGUUUCCCGACCGUGAUGUUCAAGUUAGUUUUAUGGAGUUGUGUGAGGUAUAAAGGGUUUUUGUGAAUAAUAUAAUUAAAAGUAGAUAUCUGUGAUCUGCCAAAAUUCAACUGCUUGGUUCCACUUGCAUCAAGUGUGUCAAAAAGGGCAAAACUAAUACUAGAGCAAUUGACAGCCUCCAAGAGAGUUGGUGUUGAGCUCAAUAGAAGGGAGCUGUAGGAAUUGAACUGCUUUAGUAGCUUCAUGUUGGAUCUUCUACUAUGUAUAGACUUGGAGAAAGAAAAACGAGGAUGAUGCAAGCCAAAAUUAACGAACUUUAGAUGAAUAGACUAAGACAUGAGAGAAUAAAUGAGAUAGAGAAUUUUGUGUACCAACAAAUACAAGCAUAUCAUAAUACAUAGUAGAAUUAAAUGAAAAUUAUAAUCAAAUAAAACAUCAAAAUUUACGUGAAAAACUCCUUCAACAUGAAGGGUAAAAACCACAGGGUAAACAAGAGGAAAUGUACUAUAAAAAUAAUGAAUAUAUAAAUCUCAGAGUCUUUUGCCCAAAACCCAAGCAACAAUCACAAGAGAAUAAUUAUGAUAUAAGGAUUACGUCAUUGUGCAUAAUAUCCAAAAUCUCCUCAAGUGAUCACAACAGGAAUCUACAAUAAAUCUGAUCUAAUAUGAGAUCAGAACACUUAUUGGAUGAUUGAGAAUAGUCUCUACGUUGACCUUGUCUUCUUCCUUUUCCUUCUUCUCUUGUUUUUCUUUCCUCAACUGUCACUGUUGCAUCUCUCUUUUUUACAACCACCGUUGCCCUCUUUUUUUGCCUUAGCAACCAUACUUCUUGGUUAAAAGAGUUAGUAUUUUGGUUAAAAAAAAAGAGAGUUAAGACUAAAGUGGGUUGUGGGUAAUUAAAGCCUACUAUGAGUUGAAUAAUGAGUCAUCUGCCCAACAACCUCCCCCUUCGGCCCAUAAGGGAGGUUGUCUCAUAACUCCUCAAUGUAAAUUCAUACAAACUUUUGGUAUAUCUUUUGUCUUUCUUUUGGUAAGGUCUUUAUCAAUAUAUCUACUCCAUUAUCAUCUCUAUGAAUUUUCUAAAGUUGCAACUGCUUUUCUUCAAGUAAAUUUUGAAUCCAAUGAUACCUGACAUAUAUAUGCUUUGACUUGAAAUGAAAAGUUGGGUUCUUACACAAAUAGAUGACGCUCUUACUUUCACAAUACACUAUAUAGUUUUUCUUUUUCAGUCAUAAUUUUUGUAAGAAUUCUUUUAUCCAUGAUAUUUACUUACAAACCUCUAUAGUAGUAAUAUAUUCUGCCUUUAUGGUGAAGAGAGCAAUAUACCUUUGCAAUCUGGAUUGCCAUGACACAACUCUCAUUGCAAAAGUAAAUACAAAACCUAAUGUAGACUUCCUCGUAUCAAUAUCUAUUGUCAUAUCUGCAUCUGUGUAACCUGUCAACACUGAUUGUCCACCUCCAUAGCUUAAACAAAAUAAUGACUCAUCUAAGUCUGGAUUAUUGCCAUGAAUGUAUCAUGCAACAAAUCAAUUGCAUUGGGUUUGCUUGAAGCCCAUCAUAUAUAUAGCUUGCUGUUAGCCUAAUGCAACACUCAUUCAUCUUAAAUUAUAGGAGUGAGAAUUAUAUUAUUCCUCACGAGAUUGUCAUUAUCAAUUAUAUUGUUGUUGAUUGAGUGUUGUCAAUUGAUAGUCGGUAUGAUUUGGUCUUAUUCUAAAGUUGCAAGGUCGUCCGAGGAUCCCUCAUGGUUGUCUGGCGAGGUGGUUGGUGUGGUGCCGACGAAUCUAAGGUGGUUUCUGAGGAUCUAGGACGGACUUUGGUCUUCUUGGUGGGUUCAUGCACAAAGGUUAAUGUCGGGAGGAGUUUCCCGACUCGACUCGACCCCUUCGAUGCUCAAAUUAGCUUUGUAAAGUUGCAUGGGGUAUAAAGGAUUAUCUUCAAGAGAAGUCAAACCCUUGGAUAGGCAUAAGGGGUUGACUUUUAUACCAAGCGAUCGAGGGGUUCGUUUGUAACUGUUGUAAUGCCCUCCACAUAGCAUUUUGUCCACGUGAGCGAUAGGCUUGAAUGACCUUUUGCGGGUUGUCGUCCACAAAGGCCGAUUGAUUGGGGACAUAUAUGAAGGAUCACUCGGGGAUCACUAUCUUUAGUGACCAACAUGAUUUAUACAUGUCGGGGAUCACUAUCUGAAGGAUCACUCGGGGAUCACUAUCUUUAUUUAUACAUGUUAAAAGAGAGUAUUUCCUUGAUCAGCAAGAUUUUCUUGUAUAGUUGGGGAAAUAGAAUCUUCUAAUAUGUAUAGACUUUAGAUGAUGACAAUGAUCCUCUAAUAGAAAGAAAAAUGAGGAUGAUGUGAACUUUAGAUGAAUAGAAUAGGACUUGUGAGAAUAAAUGGGAUGGAGCUUGACGAAAUCUUCGCUUGGAUUACGAUCUUAUUCUAGAGACUUGAGCUCGAGGAGAAGGGUCCCAAACCUAACGACACAAUGUCGAUGCCUAUACGUAUUCUCCUCCGUAGAUCAUGACCCACGACCAACUCUUGACCGUGUUGUUGUUGAUGAGGGCUUGUCGUCAACGAAGCUCCGAGGUCAUCCUAAUAUUUUAAGAAGGUUCAGAUGACCUGGGAGACUUCCAUCUCUCUCUGUUUGUGUUGGAAUUCUAAUGUAAACCCUUAUGUCAGGAUUAAUACUUAUAAUAAACCUUACACGAAGUUGGCUCUUUCCUAAUCGCUUAAGGUUUUGAGACUAACUGUAUCGUGAUAUUAAAAUAUAUUCGAGUGUGAAAUUUACAGUCAUGGAGCAAAGAUGAUGAUCCUCGUGAGUUUCUUUGGUCUUAGCUUAGUGGCGAGGAGUCACAAUCGAUUAGGAAAUCUGCUAAGCUGGCGCCGGCCAUUGAUUGACACAUCGAUGGUGCGUCGAGUGGAGGAAGACUAAUAAGUUCGUGGUCGUUCCCAUGGCGCAGCGGAAACCGUGUGCAAGCAGGGUUGAAGAAGGUGAACACGUCUUUCUUCCCCCGUUAAUUUCGCUCACCGCAUGUUGCAAGCCAAAGAUCAAAGGACUUUACAUGAACAGAGCAAGGCAAUGAAGAAUUAAACGUGUGGCGAUUAAUAUACUCCAAGAACCUUUUUGUGCUAAGUUAGGUUCUGAUGGUGUGACAUGUGGACUCGAGAAAUCUGACUUAACAGCCACCCAACAUCUCGGACUGAGACGAAACCAAAAGUAUACAUCGAUUGGCUCCGAACCUUACUCACAUGUCACACCAUCAGAACCUAUGUUAGCACAAUAAAGUUACUGGAGUAUAUUAAUCGCCACACCUUUAAUUCUUCAAUGCCAUACUCUCUUCAUGUAAAGUCCUUUGAUCUUUGAACACCAACGCCAGCAUUUUCGCCUCCGUCGUUGUCCUUGUCCCACCGCCACCUCUAGGCUGCGUUGUUCCUGGCGAAGACUCAGUCGUAGGACCUUCUCGUGGUUCUCACCGGGUAGACUGACUUCACUUCCAUCCCUCUCUACGUGUUGGAAUUAUACAUCGGAUGCUCAUGCGUCAUUGCGAGGAUGAAUACUGACAAACCGAACACAUCGGCUGCGGUUGUUUAGGAUGAUGACCGACCCAUUUAUUCCCAGCAGCCUCACCUGCACGAGACUUCCUCGGAGUUUCCCUUCUGCAUUACGUCAAUGAAUUCAUCUCAAACUCAGUUCAAGAGUACCGGCAUACGCAUUAGAUUCGGAUGCCCGAAAAGAAUCGAUCUACCGCCAUCCUUAUCUCUGUCCUUGACGAUGUUUGCACAGAGACGACUCGAUCCCUCACAAGUCAAUUGACUCAGUUGGUCGCUGGUGCAUCGACCAUAGAGGAAGACCAAAUAAAUGAAGGCGUGAAUGAGGCGGUGGCAACCGUGCGCGAAGCAGACUCGAAGAAGUGUGCUCGCGGCGCAGCGUGUCACAGAAAUAUAUAGGUUGUAAGAUUUUAUAUACUUCGAGGAUACGUUUCUUCUCAUGCUUAACCUCAAAGAAAGAAGGAAAUCACAUGAGUUACAGAUGAACACAACAGCAAUACAAAUAAAUUAUACGAAGCAAAGAUGAUGAGUGGAUGAGCACUUCCUCUAAGAGUCAUCCAGGAGUUAGUCAAAGUCUUCUUGUCUUCAUCCCAAAGCGCAGCCUCCCCUUGUCAUCUUCUCUUCCCUGGUGCAGGUCCCAUCCCACCCUCCUUCCCUAUAUAACAUGAACGAGGCCUUCGCCAAUCGUCACAGGCAAUCCACCAUGGCCUCCCGUAACCUCUCCUCCCUCCUCCUCGUCGUCCUCCUCGUCUUCGCCGGCUAUGCCGGUUCCCACGCCGGCAGCAUCGCCGUGUACUGGGGCCAGAACGGCAACGAGGGCGGCCUUGCCGACACCUGCAACACCGGCAUCUACUCGUACGUGAUGCUGGCUUUCCUCACCACCUUCGGCAACGGGCAAACCCCCGUCCUCAACCUGGCGGGCCACUGCGACCCCCCCUCCGGCACCUGCACCGGCCUCAGCUCCGACAUCCGCGCCUGCCAGUCCCAGGGCAUCAAGGUGCUCCUCUCCCUCGGUGGCGACUCCAGCAGCUACUCCCUGUCCUCCUCCGACGACGCCGCGAGCGUGGCGACGUAUCUGUGGGCCAACUACCUCGGCGGCUCGUCCAGUUCGCGCCCGCUGGGUGACGCCGUCCUCGACGGCAUCGACUUCGACAUCCAGCAUGGCGGCCCCGACCACUACAACGAGCUGGCGAAGCAGCUCUCCGACUUGGGCGGCCAGGCUGGGACCAAGGUGUACCUCUCGGCGGCGCCGCAGUGCCCCUACCCGGACCAGUCCUUGGGGAACGCGCUGCAGACGGGGCUCUUCGACUACGUGUGGGUGCAGUUCUACAACAACCCCAGCUGCGACUACUCGUCGGGGGUCAGCGGCCUGAGCAGCGCAUGGGGGACGUGGACGUCGAGCUUGUCGUCAUCGACCGUCUUCCUGGGGCUGCCGGCCUCGCAGGACGCGGCCGGGAGCGGGUACAUCCCGCCCGACGUCCUCACCUCCCAGGUGCUGCCGGCGAUCAAGACUGCGUCCAACUACGGCGGCAUCAUGCUGUGGAGCAGAUACUACGAUCUCAACAGCGGGUACAGCGCUGCCGUGAGGAACAGUGUUUGAGAUGGCGAUGUACUCACUACCAUAUGUGUGCUUCCGAUUACGAGGUCAUGAAUAAGGCGGGACAGUGAUAGAAAGGUGUUCCAGAUUGAUGUGACGAUGCGUCCCAAUAAAAUAAAGAUUGCGUGUUUUUAUGGAGGCAUUGAGGUGGUCAGAGUAAUAAAUAAUACAUAAGUGAUAUAUCUUAAAUUUAAAUUUAGAUGUGAGCAUCAUAUUUGAGUACACGAGUAUCAUGUCCGUUAUUUAUAGUACUAUUUUUUUUUAUUUUAUAAAAAUAAAAAAAUAUAUAAAGUAUGCUUGACACGUGAAAUAAUUAAAAUAAACCCAUAGACGGACCAAGAAAGGUGGUGUAUCGAUGACAAUUGAUGCAAAUAACAAAUUCAGCAAAUAUUCAUGAAUUGAUGAUGGCUUCGUUAAUUAAGAGACAAGUUUGCAUAUUAUAAACAAGCUGGUUUUUCUCGUUUCUAAUAAAAACAUUCUAUAGGCUGAUCGCAUUGAAAUAAACUUUAUCUUAUAAACAAUGGAAUUAUAUUUUUAAUUAUUUGUUCUGUAAGCUCUUCUUCAUAUAUUCGUUUCUUUGAUCAUGCAAGACGUAGUUUGGUCGGAGAUGACGUACUUUGUCCGCAAAGAAGAAACUCGAGGAUGUGUAGGCCUUCCUUCACCUUUAAAAAAAUGUUCUCGACAUAAUAAAAAUACUUCUAUUUUUAAUAAAGCAUUUUAUACGAGAAAGCUUUCACUAUUAGACUUUUAUUAAAUAGAAAUGAUGCUUCUCUAAUUGGUUUUUACACGAGACAUCCUUUGCCUCUAUCUCUUUGCCUUCGGUCAUUGAAUAUGACCUUUCUAACCAACAUGGAAUGUUGUCUAAUCAUAAUUCCUCAUGCGUUUCUUCCGAAUGGGCCAUAUGCCCCUAAUUUUUGAAUCGAUGUUCAUGUUGGGUUAGGGUCCGAAUAAAUUGAGGUUUACCCAACAAAAUAAUGACUCGUCUAAGUUUGGUCUGUUGCCGUGAAUGUUUCAUGCGACGAAUCAAUUGCAGUGGAUUUGCUUGAAGCUCACCAUAUAUGUUCUUGCUGUCAACCCAGUGCGACGCUCAUUAAUCCUAUAUUAUAGGAGUGAGAAUUAUAUUAUUCCCGGGGAGAUUAUCAUUACCAACGAUAUUGUUGUUUGCUGAGUGUUACAGUUUGAUCUUGUUUUUGAAGACGUAAGGUCAUUUGAGGAUCCCUCGUGGCUGUCUGUCUGGCGAGGGAGCUAGUGUGGCACCGAAGAAUCUGAGAUAGUUUCUAAGGAUUCGAGAUGGACUUCGAUCUUCCCAGGUUCCUGCACAAAGGUUAGUGUCGGGCGGAGUUUCCCGACCUGACUUCUCCGAUGUUCAAAUUAGUUUUGUGGAGUUGUGUGAGGUAUAAAGGGUUUUUGUGAAAAGAGGUCCGACCCUUGGGCAAGCGUCGGGGGUUGGCUUUUAUACCUGGGCGAUCAAGGAGAUCGUUUGUUAAUAUUAUAAUGCCCUCCGCAUAGCAUUUUGUCCAUGUGAAUGAGAGGCCCGAGCGAUCCUCUACAGGUUAUCGUCUACAAAGGCCAACUGAGUGGGGAUAUAUCAGAAGGAUCACCCGGAGACCACUAUUCUUGGUGAUCGACAAAAUUAAUCGGAACGAUCUCCCGUGAACUAUUAUCUAUGAGGGCCGCCAAGUGCCCCACGAUGCUAUCGAGUUGGGAGGUGAUUUACCCUUACCUUCCAUGUCGACAUCUCGGUGGCGAUCAACUAUAAAGCUAGUUUUGUCAAAAUAUUUCCUAUUAGAUAUAUGAACCUGAUGUAAGAUGGGAACCUUUAACUCUAUCGAUAUUUCAUUAUCAUGAACUUACCUUAAUUUAUCUAAACCGUAUAUCACAUUCAUGCAAAGAGUUAAUCUUUCAAUGUGAAAAAAUAGAUAGUGACAUGUGAAUGCACUAUAAUAGUGACUUGGCUUAAAGCAUAAACUAAGAUUGCACUAGCAUCAUCGAAUAAAAUAAUUUAGUGGCAUGCUUUCACUUAUGCUCGAUAGCUUCUUGUUUUCUUUACUAGAACAAAAAUACAUUGCUUUAAAAGUAGCUUCAAGUAGGAAUUGAACUGCUUUAGUAGCUUCAUGUUCGAUCUUAUACAAUGUAUAGACUUGGAGAAAGAAAAACGAGGAUGAUGCAAGCCAAAAUUAACGAACUUUAAAUGAAUAGUCUAAGACAUGAGAGAAUAAAUGAGUUAGAGACCGGCGAAGCACCAUUAAGUGAUGAGAUAAAAAGAGAAUUUUGUAUACGAACAAAUAAAUCAUAACACGUAGCAGAAUUAAAUGAAAAUCAUAGUCAAAUAUAAUAUCAAAAUUUACGUAAAAAAUCUCUCCAACACGAAGGGUAAAAACCAUAGGGUAAGCAAGAGAAAAUCUACUAUAAAAAUAAUGAAUAUACAAAUCUCAGAGUCUUUUGCCCAAAACCCAAGCAACAAUCACAAGAGAAUAACUAUGAUAUAAGGAUUACGUCAUUGUGCAUAAUAUCUAAAAUCUCCUCAAGUGAUCACAACAAGAAUCUACAAUAAAUCUGAUCUAAUAUGAUAUUAUAAUACUUCUUGGAUGAUUGAGAAUAGUCUCUAUAUUGUCCUUGUCUUCUUUCCUUUCCUUCUUCUCUUGUUUUUCUUUCCUCAACUAUCACUGCUGCUUCUCUCUUUUUUACAACCAUCGCUGCCCUCUUUUUUUGCCCUAGAAACCAUACUUCUUGGUUAAAAGAGAAAAGAGUUAAGAUUAAAGUGGGCUGUGAAUAAUUAAAGCCUACUAUGAGUUGAAUAAUGAGUCAUUUGCCCAACAAUCUUCCUCUUCAGCCCAUAAGGGAGGUUGUCUCAUGACUCCUCAAUGUGAAAUCAUACCGACAAACUAUUGGUAAUCUUUUGCCUUUAUUUUGGUAAGGUCUUUAUCAACAUAUUUGCUCUAUUACCAUCUGUAUGAAUUUUCUAAAGUUGUAACUGCUUCUCUUCAAGUAUAUUUCGAAUCCAAUGGUAUCUGACAUCUAUAUGCUUUGACUUGGAUUGAAAAGUUGUGUUCUUACACAAAUAGAUGACGCUAUGACUUUCACAAUACACUACAUAGUUUUUUUUUUUUCGGUCAUAAUUUUUGUAAGAAUUUUUUUAUCCAUAAUAUUUCUUUGCAAACCUCUAUAGUAGUAAUAUAUUCUGCCUCUAUGGCGGAGAGAGCAAUAUACCUUUGCAAUCUGGAUUGCCACGACACAACUCCCCUUGUAAAAGUAAGUACAAAACCUAAUGUAUACUUCAUUGUAUCAAUAUCUAUUGUCGUAUCUGCAUCUGUGUAACCUGUCAAUAUAGAUGGUCCACCUCCAAAGCUUAAAAAAAAUAAUGACUCAUCUAAGUCUGGAUUGUUGCCAUGAAUGUAUCAUGCAACAAAUCAAUUGCAUUAGGUUUGCUCGAAGCCCACCAUAUAUGUUGCUUGAUGUUAGCCCAGUGCAACACUCAUUCAUCCUAAAUUAUAGGUGUGAGAAUUAUAUUAUUCCUCAUGAGAUUGUCAUUAUCAAUUAUAUUGUUGUUGCCUGAGUGUUGUCAAUUGAUAGUCGGUAUGAUUUGGUCUCAUUCUAAAGUUGCAAGGUCAUCCGAGGAUCCCUCGUGGUUGUCUAGCGAGGUGGUUGGUGUGGUGUCGAUGAAUCUAAGGUAGUUUCUGAGGAUCUAGGAUAGACUUUGGUUUUCUUAGUGGGUUUAUGCACAAAGGUUAAUAUCGGGGGGAGUUUCCCGACCCGACUCGAUCUCUCUGAUGUUCAAAUUAGCUUUGUGAAGUUGCGUGGGGUAUAAAGGAUUUUCUUAAAGAGAAGUCCGACCCUUGGACAGCCAUCAGGGGUUGACUUUUAAACCUAGGCGAUCGAGGGGAUCGUUUGUAACUGUUGUAAUGCCCUCCACAUAGCAUUUUGUCCAUGUGAGCGAUAGGCUCGAAUGACCUUUUGCGGGUUGUCGUCCACAAAGGCCGAUUGAGUGGGACAUACCUGAAGGAUCACCCGGGGAUCACCAUCUUUAGUGACCGACAUGAUUUUCCCAAACGACCUCCCGUAUACUAUUGUCCAUAGGAGUUGAUAGGUGCCCCACGAUGGGGUGACAAACCUGACGAUGGAGGCUUGAAUAGCUUGGAGGAUGAGAUGAUCUUGGGGUAAUCAUAGUUUAUGGGCUGGAUUUAGUACUAGACUAGGGUCUUCUAGGAUAUUGAUAAUUGUGAUGGACAAUGAAGAGAGCUAUUGACACAGUCUCGUAGAUCGUAUCCAAAUAGGAGAUUAGAAAAUUAUGCACGUCAAGAUGUGUAGUUGUCAUCUUUAGAUAAUUUAAAAGGGAUGAGUGUUACUUGAUGGUGAUAAGACAUAUGUUGAGAAGUGAUAUAUUCCCUGAGGGGAUAAUAACUAGAGCGUUAGAGGUAGAUGAUAAAGAUAUUUUGAGGAUAGGUAUAUGAGAGAGUAAGGGAGUUGUCAGCUGUAGAAGGAGAGUGGAAGAUGGCUCCAAUGAGGAUCGUAGUGAUUGCUGCAGCAGGUUGAGGUAUCUUCUUCUUCGCCCCUCUAGGAGGUCUCAGAUCCUUAGACAGAGAUAUUUAUCGAAGGAGGCAUUUGGGCGAGCAGAUCUUAAUGGGCUGAAGGUGCGGCCUGGAGGAGCAGUUCUAAUGGCGAAAGGAGAAGUUGAAGGAAGUUUGUUUCUGGAGCGAUUGGGUCUCGAUCGAGGAAAUCUCGCUGAUCAGUUGAGGGAAUUCCUUUCUUCUAACAUGUAUAAAUAGACAUUGUAUUCAACUAAUUGAAGAGUGCUUUGUCAUUACAUUUCAUUUUCUCAUGCUAUCAGAGUUGUAGUGAGCGAACGCUAGCGCAGAGCGACAGAGGGAGAAGAUAGACAGUCGUUGUUCGUUUAGGAGGAAAUCAGUGAUCUGAUCAACAAUCACUAAAGGUGGCAGCACCUGCGCUUCCUUUGGGAGCAUCGUCCGUGGUGAAGAGAGAAGAAAUAGGGAUGCUACACUAAAGGGAAGGGAUCGCCUUGCGCACGAACGCAGAUCAUCAGUCGUCGGUCGCCUUGCACUUGCUUGGGAGGUGGAGACCUUUGACAGGAGAUGUGGCACUUGCGUUUGGAGUAGCAGAGGCAACAACAAGAGCAGAUUCUCGAGUAAGUGACGCAAGCUUCCAUGAUCUUGAUGUCGGUGUAGCAAGAGGAGGCACUCCUCGUGCGCAGCUUGCAAUCUACAAGGUGUGCUGGGGUGCGCGGCUAGCAAUCUACAAGGUGUGCUGGGAUGUCAGGUUUGAGGAUGCUUGGAGUGGCAAAAUUUUGUCCUCUCGAUGAGAAGUAUGCAACAGAAGGCACCGGUGAGCAGCUGAACCGGUGCCGGGUGGUGGGCUCGAAAGGUGCGGGCGUUGGCUUUGCGCUUGCCACCGUUCUCCUCAAAGGCUACACGGAGGCGACCAAUGAGGGCGUCAGGGAGAGCUUUUCUGCCGGAUGAAGAGCCUUGAGGGAGGAAGAAGUGGCAGUAUAAGUUGCCUCAUCUAGACGACCAAGACACACAAUGGAAGCCACCUCGUCUAGGCGACCGGGACCGAUGAUUCGUUGAUGGAGAGGAAGGUAUAGUAGCAGACAAGGUGGAUACGGAGGAUCUCGUUGAUCUACUCCUCAUUGGCCUCGCAAGCAUGAUGUUGUCAUGCUAGUGGCGAUACUGAUAGAAGGUGAGUUAGCUAUCGCUGAACAUCGAGGAAGAGAAGAGAAAUCUUGCUAUAACGCAAGGGCUCUGAUACUGAUAAAAUGAAAUGUAAUGAUAAAGUACACUUCAAUUAGUUGAAUACAAUAUCUAUUUAUACAUGUAAGAAGAGAGGAUUUAUCUGAUCAGUAAAAUUUUCUCGUAUAGUUGAAGAAAUCUUAUCUGUUAUGAGGAUCUUCUAAUAUGUAUAGACUUUAGACGAUGAGAUGAUCUUCUAAUAGAAAGAAAAAUGAGGAUGAUGUGAACUUUAUAUGAAUAGAAUAAGACAUGGAAGAAUAAAUGGGAUGGAGAUUGACGAAAUCUUCACUUGGAUUACCAUCUUAUUCUAAAGACUUGAGCUGGAGGAAAAGGGUCCCAAACCUAACGACACAAUGUCGAUGCCUAUACGUAUUCUCCUCCGUAGAUCAUGACCCACUACCAACUCUUGACCGUGUUGUUCUUGACGAGGACUAGUCAUCAACGAAGCUCCGAGGUCACCCUAAUAUUUUAAGAAGGUUCAGAUGACCUGGGAGACUUCCAUCUCUCUCUGUUUGUGUUGGAAUUCUAAUGUAAACCCUUAUGCCAGGAUUAAUACUUAUAAUAAACCUUACACGAAGUUGGCUCUUUCCUAAUCGCUUAAGGUUUUGAGACUAACUGUAUCUCAAUCAAAAUUCGUAUCGUGAUAUUAAAAUAUAUUCGAGUGUGAAAUUUACAGUCAUAGAGCAAAGAUGAUGAUCCUCGUGAGUUUCUUUGGUCUUAGCUUAGUGGCGAGGAGUCACAAUCGAUUAGGAAAUCCGCUAAGCUGGCGCCGGCCAUUAAUUGACUCAUCGAUGGUGCGUCGACUAUGGAGAAAGACUAACAAGUUCGUGGUCGUUCCCAUGACGCAGCGGAAACCGUGUGCAAGCAGGGUUGAAGAAGGCGAACACGUCUUUCUUCCCCCAUUAAUUUCGCUCACCGCAUGUUGCAAGCCAAAGCUCAAAGGGCUUUACAUGAACAGAGUAUGGCAUUGAAGAAUUAAAGGUGUGGCGAUUAAUAUACUCCAUUAACCUUUUUGUGCUAACUUAGGUUCUGAUGGUGUGACAUGUGAGUAAGGUUCGGAGCCAAUCAAUGUUUACUUUUGACUCCGUCUCAGUCCGAGAUGUUGGGUAGCUGUUAAAGUCAGAUUUGUCGAGUCGAUUGCCUCGGCUAGUCGCUGGUGCAUCGUUUGACUAUGAACACCAACGUCAGCAUUUUCGCCUCCGUCGUUGUCCUUGUCCCACCGCCACCUCUAGGCUGAGUUGUUCCUUGCGAAGACUCGGUCGCAGGACCUUCUCGUAGUUCCCACCGGGGAGACUGACUUCACUUCCAUCCUUCUCUACGUGUUGGAAUUAUACAUCGGAUGCUCAUGCUUCAUUGCGAGGAUGAAUACUGACAAACCGAACACAUCGGCUGCGGUUGUUUAGGAUGAUGACGACCCAUUCAUUCCCAGCAGCCUCAUCUGCACGAGACUUCCUCGGAGUUUCCCUUCUGCAUUACGUCAAUGAAUUCAGUCUCAAAAUCAGUUCAAGAGUACCGGCAUACGCAUUAGAUAGAUCGAAUAGAGUCGGAUGCCCGAAAAGAAUCGAUCUACCGCCAUCCUUAUCUCUGUCCUUGACGAUGUUUGCACAGAGACGACUCGAUCCCUCACAAGUCGACUGUCUCAGUUGGUCGCUGGUGCAUCGACCAUAGAGGAAGACCAAAUAAAUGAAGGCGUGAAUGAGGCGGUGGCAACCGUACGCGAAGCAGACUCGAAGAAGUCUGCUCGCGGCGGAGCGCGCCACAGAAAUAUAAUAGAUUGUAAGAUUUUAUAUACUUCGAGGAUACGUUUCUUCUCAUGCUUAACCUCAAAGAAAGCUGGAAAUCACUUAAGCACAUGAGUUACAAAAAAACACUACAGCAAUACAAAUAAAUUAUACGAUGCAAAGAUGAUGAGUAGAUGAGCGCCUCUUCUAAGAGUCAUCCAACAGUUAGUCAAAGUCUUCAUGUCUUCAUCCCAAAGCGCAGCCUCCCCCUGUCAUCUCCUCUUCUCUGGUGCAGGUCCCAUCCCACCCUCCUUCCCUAUAUAACAUGAACGAGGCCUUCGCCAAUCGUCACAGGCAAUUCACCAUGGCCUCCCGUAACCUCUCCUCCCUCCUCCUCGUCGCCCUCCUCGUCUUCGCCUUCUCUGCCGGCUCCCACGCCGGCAGCAUCGCCGUGUACUGGGGCCAGAACGGCAACGAGGGCGGCCUUGCCGACACCUGCAACUCCGGCAUCUACUCGUACGUGAUGCUGGCUUUCCUCACCACCUUCGGCAACGGGCAAACCCCCGUCCUCAACCUGGCGGGCCACUGCGACCCCCCCUCCGGCACCUGCACCGGCCUCAGCUCCGACAUCCGCGCCUGCCAGUCUCAGGGCAUCAAGGUGCUCCUCUCCCUCGGUGGCGACUCCAGCAGCUACUCCCUGUCCUCCUCCGACGACGCCGCGAGCGUGGCGACGUAUCUGUGGGACAACUACCUCGGCGGCUCGUCCAGCUCGCGCCCGCUGGGCGACGCCGUCCUCGACGGGAUCGACUUCGACAUCGAGCAUGGCGGCCCCGACCACUACGACGAGCUGGCGAAGCAGCUGUCCGACUUGGGCAGCCAGGCGGGGACCAAGGUGUACCUCUCGGCGGCGCCGCAGUGCCCCUUCCCGGACCAGUCCUUGGGGAACGCGCUGCAGACGGGGCUCUUCGACUACGUGUGGGUGCAGUUCUACAACAACCCCAGCUGCGACUACUCGUCGGGGGUCAGCGGCCUGAGCAGCGCAUGGGGGACGUGGACGUCGAGCUUGUCGUCGUCGAUCGUCUUCCUGGGGCUGCCGGCCUCGCCGGACGCGGCCAAUAGCGGGUACAUCCCUCCCGACGACCUCACCUCCCAGGUGCUGCCGGCGAUCAACACUGCGUCCAACUACGGCGGCAUCAUGCUGUGGAGCAGAUACUACGAUCGCAACAGCGGGUACGGCGAGAAAGUGAAGAGCAGUGUUUGAGAUGGCGAUGUACUAACUACUAUAAGUGUGCUUCCGAUUACGAGGUC